AAAGAAAACAGGGUUACAAAAACAAAAUAAAACUUAGCUGAAUUUAAAAGAUAAAUUUGGAUUAUGAAUUAGUAGAAAAAGAAUGAGAAUUAGUAAAGCGAAAGAAACGGUACCAAUCUUGUGAUGAAAAUCACAAGUGCUCUGAAAUAGUAUCACUAUAAACUCGACACCUUCCCCGGCAACGGCGCCAUUUGAUUCAUGCCCAAUUGGUGUCUCAGCUGAUUCAUGUUCAGCUGGUGCUCCUUGUUUGAGGGAGUAAUCAACAAAAUUUAUAACCUAUUACACCAUAUACUAGGGUAGCAAAGAAAAAGCUACUAUAGUAUAGCGGCUCUAGGAUCGUUCACUAGGAAGGGUUUCCAAAUUACAAAUGAUACCAAUUCAAAGUGAAUUGGUACUUUUUUCAUUUCAAGGUUAGCUCACGAAAUAAAACAAAAACUUUGAUUGGUAAAGAUUUAGAUUUAAAAUGACUACAAAGCAAGUGAUGGAAAUUACUUAGGAAGAAAAACAUUCCUUGGAGGGUCAGGUUCACUGGGGAGGUUCCUCAUGCAACAGACAUAGCUCAGGUCAGUUGGUUCAUUUCCUCGUGUGAGAGAAUCAACAUAUAGUCAAUUCUCUAACCGGUGUUGUACAGAUACACCCUUUAAUUAGAUUUCAGCUUUAAUUCUCUCACUGAUGCAACUUGCAAUGGUUCAAACCUCUCACUAAGCCUUAACCAUUCAAGGUGAUCUUUAACCUUGGACUUCCCUUCUCAAGCUCGUAAGAGAUAACUAAUGGAUGUCUCCUUGGAGUCCAAAAGCUUACCAAGUGUUGGCAAUUCCAGAAAAUCCUACCUACAAGUCACCUCCCAGAGGCUCACAAGGGGUAAACUAGUGCAUCUUCAUGGUUGGAGAUCACUUGCCUUUCCAAGUGUUGGCCUAGGUGACUCUAAGGUGUUUUAAGUUAACUAAAAACAGAGAAAUCACUGAAGGAUUUCACUUCCUCUUCAUUCAUGGCUGAAACCACAAAGCUUUGCAUUCUUGCAAUUGGAACCUUCCCCGGCAACCUUAGCUCCAAGGAACUAAAGGUUUAGUUACUCAUUCUUUGGGGAAAAUUCCUUAGAGAGUGCAUAACUUAGUAAGAAACAAAAAAUACAAAGUGAGAAGGUAAGGCAAAACAAAGGACCUGAACUUUAAUUGCUUUUCCAAAACUUUACAAAAGGUCUCCUCCCCCAGAACAGGCUCUCGAGAGGUUUAUAUAUGAACAUAAUACAAAACUAAUUAUUACAUGGAUAUUUACUCUUUUUACUAACUUAAAAGCUAAGGAAUCUUGUAAUUGGUGGCUUACAAGGAGAAUUGUGGGAUUUAGACAACAAAAAUCUGAUGGAAAAUAUCUCCCAAUGUCGGUAGCAAAUAUCGGGAAGCACUAAGGACCAUUUCGCAAGAGAAAAUGAUGUCUGCGAGAUUUCGCAGACACACAAAAAGGGCUGCGAAAGCACUUCGCAGCAAAAGGUUAUUCUCGCAGGGCUGCGAAGUUGGCUUUCAUCUUGAGGUUCUCAGCUUCCAACUUGUCGCAUAUAUCGGGCAACUUCAGGAGAAAAUCCACCACACUGUACAAAAAGGCUGUGAAAUCACUUCGCAACAAAAGGUUGAUUUCGCAACACUUUUGCAAAAUGCUUUCUUCAGCUUAGAGUGAUUGACUUGCAGUGGCUGUAACUUCUUCGUUUCAACUCCAAAUUGUGCACCGUUUGAAGCAUUGGAUUGUUGACUUCCUGAGCUUUGAAAUGAAAUAUAUCAUGCAUCAAUUGGACUUUAGAAAGUGCUCCAAAAGUGGCUAACACGACUGUCAUCAAGAAUAUGCUUCAUGGCAGAUUCUCUUUACUUCUUCUCCUUGCACUCCGGAUUUACUUAUGGCAAAGGACUUCAAAGCUUUGGUUCUUUAUGUUUCUGAGCUUCCAAUUGCUUUGCCCAAGAUUCCAUAUAACUCUCCUCAAUCUCGGAUUGCUUUGGUGAUCCAUAGGCUAUCAAAACACCAAAACUUAACAUAAUUUGAUUAGAAUUGAUUGCAAGGGUCCUUAACAUGUUAAUUGGGUUAAAAGGCAAUAACUACUACUCAAAAGUGUUUAAAAGAGUUUAUUACAAGCUAUCAAAGAGCACUUUUUGAGUAGUAAUCACUCCCUCCAACCAACAUAUUGCUAGUCCCUUAGCAAUAAAGGAGAGAGAAAAAUAUAAAAGCAACUAAACUAUAAUUUACAACAUCAUGCUGAAAAACAAUUUUCAAGUGGCAUGAUAAUCUAAUUCUCACAUGAGACAUCAAAGAAAUAUACACCCAAAUUUCAACAAGAGUUAUAACAAACUACGCUAAACACUAUCAAUUAAGGGAAUGCAUUAUGCAAACUGAAGUUUUAAAAUCAUUUUCACUUCCAAAGAACCAAACUUUACUCUUCCACAAAAAUCUAAGUGUAAGAUUCCUUAGCUUCCGAAUAUAGUAUGCUAAACUAAUCUCUCCCCCCAACCUAUCUCUUUUCAACACUUAGCAAACUGACCAAAAUCAAUAAGAAAAGAACACAUAUUUCUUUUUUUCUUUAUUUAAGGGGCUUAAAGGGGUAUUCUUUCUGAAUUGUCCAUAUAACGGGGGUCCAUUGAUGACUCCCAACCAAUAGUUCACAAAGAGGCUUUGAAAGUUUAAAGAAAUCUUUAAUAAAUCUCCUGUAGAACCCAACAUGGCCAAGGAAUUUCCUUACUCCUUUUACAGUUGUUGGGGAUGGCAAUUUGACAAUAAGUUCCACCUUUACUUUAUCAACUUCAAUGCCUUUCUUGGAGAUGAUGUGGCCAAGGACAAUUCCUUGAUGUACCAUAAAAUGACAUUUCUCCCUGUUAAGCACUAAGUCCUUUUCAAUGCAUCGGUUCAGAACAGCUUCCAAGUUGACUAAGCAUUCCUCGAAUGCGCUUCAAUAUAUGGUGAUAUCAUCCAUAAAAACUUCCAUAAUACGCUCCACCAUAUCAUUGAAAAUGCUUAACAUACAUCAUUGGAAUGUUGUAAGUGCAUUGCAUAAACCAAAAGGCAUUCUUCUUUAGGCAUAUGUUCCAAAUGGACAUUUGAAAGUGGUCUUCUCCUGGUCUUCAACAUCAAUUUCUAUUUGAAAAUACCCGGAGUAACCAUCCAAGAAACAAUAGAAAGGAUGGCCCGAGACUCUCUCCAAUACUUGAUCAAUAAAUGGCAAUGGAAAAUGAUCAUUCAUUGUCACAGCAUUCAAUUUUCUAUAAUCAAUACACACUCUCCAACUUGAUGUGAGGCGUGUAGCAACUUCUUCUCCCUUAUCAUUUUGCACCACUUUGAUCCCUGAUUUCUUUGGCACUACUUGAGUAGGACUCACCCAUGGGCUAUCUGAUAUGGGGUAGAUAAUAUCGACUUGAAGUAGCUUAAGAACCUCAGCUCGCACCACCUCUUUCAUAUGAGGAUUCAAUCUUCUUUGAGGUUGACGAACUGGCUUAGCUUCUUCUUCCAUGUAUAUAUGAUGUGUACAGACUAAAGGGUUGAUACCUUUCAAGUCGGAUAUUUGCCAUCCUAUUGCUUUCUUACAUCUCCUGAGAACUUCAAGUAAACACUCCUCUUGAGGAGUGGUAAGAGAUAAAGAUAUAACAAUAAGGCACUUCUUAUUCUCUUUUAGGUAUGCAUACUUCAACUCCGUGGGUAGUGGCUUCAGAAUAAGCUUCGGGGUCUCCUCUUUAACAGCUUCUUAUGCCUCCUCCUCAUUGAACAAAGGUAGAAUUUCUUCUAUCUUCCUCCAAGGUGGUAGAGUAGCAAGAAAAUCUGAGGGUUCAGGUAACCCUUCAUCAAGAUCCCCAAGACUCUCAUUCAACUCAUCUUGUAUUUUCUGAUUACAAUGCUCCUCCACUAAAGUGUCAAUGAUGCACACCUCUUCUGGACCUUCUUCUUCUUCUGGAUUGGAUGGCUUCUUGCACAUAUAGAAGAUAUUAAGCUCCAAUGUCAUGUUGCCAAACGUGAGUUGCAUGAGUCCAUUCCUACAAUUGAUGAUUGCAUUUGAUGUAGCUAGGAGUGGUCUCCAAGUAUGAUAGGAACAUUAUUAGUUCUUUUGACACUUGGGUCCAUAUCAAGAACAACAAAAUCCACUGGAUAGUAGAAAUUGUCAACUUGAACUAAGACAUCUUCAAUCAUCCCUCUUGGAAUCUUCACUGAUCUAUCUGCUAGAGAUAGAGUGAUUGAUGUUGGAUUCAAUUCACCAAGUCCCAAUUGCUUGUAGAUAGAGUAUGGUAGCAAAUUCACACUUGCCCCCAAGUCCAACAAAGCUUUCUCUACUAACUUCCCUCCAAUCAUCACUAAGAUGGUAGGGCAGCUCGGAUCUUUGUACUUCACUAGAGACUUGCCCUGUAUGAUGGCACUUACUUGCUCGGUCAAGAAGGCUUUCUUAUUCACAUUCAACCCUCUUUUGAUAGUGCACAAGUCCUUAAGGAAUUUUGCAUAAGUCGACACUUGUUUGAUCAUGUCUAGCAAUGGGAUGUUGACCUUCACUUUCCUCAACACUUCAAGAAUUUCUGAUGCAUUGUUAGGAGAGAUAAGACCUUCAAGGUUUUCUAGUUAAUUCUUGAUUUUUUUUAGGGGAUUAGAGAUGACUUGACGAUUCUUAGGAGAGAUAAGACCUUGAAGGUUUUUCUUAGUUUGUUUUCUUCUUCCUUUUUUAUUGAAUAAAUUAUUGUUUUUAAUUUCUUUGAAAUCAAGAAUAAUUCUUUCUUAUUCUUUUAUGGCUUAUGUAUGUGAGAACAUGCCUAUAAAAGGCUAAAAAACCAUCUUAAGGUGAAACAUGAAAACCUAAGGUUAAGGCUUGCAAGGAAACAAUGGGAAAUUGAAUUUAAUAAUGGAAUGAAUGAUUGGUCAAAGGCAUAAUUAAUGAGAAUGGAGAUGCCCUCCAAGAUUGGUUUGAAUUAGGGAAAGUACAAUUGUCCAUUCCAUGAUACUAGGGAUUCUUGGUAAUUCUUGACCUUUAGUUAUCUAAGGUUUAACCAUUGUUAUCUUCCCUAAGGAAAACCCAUACGAAUUGGUAAAAGCCUACAAAUCCUAGACCUAAACCAGGAUCUCAAUUUCAUUCAUCUAAUAGAUAAUUCAAAAUAAAAUUUAAUGUUACACUAAGGAGAUGGAUGCAACUCUAAGUUAUUUAGGUUGGUCUCAUUUAGCCCUUUUUUUUAAUAUCACUAGAUUUAUACAAAUAAAUACCCUUGGUUCGCCUAAAACCCUAAGCCUGAAGUUGGAUUGUGGAAACCCCAUUCUUAAACAUUUGAAUCAAAAAUCAAUAUAAUCAUGCAUUUUAAUUUAGAUUUAUUUAGCAAACUCAUUUUUAUUCAAAUAGAUUUUCAAAUGUUUUUAAUAUAAAGAAUUUAAUUAAAGUAAUCCUUUAGACCUAGUUUGAAAAAUCCCAUUAGCCAAUCUCUGAUAAUGAUACUGAUUUGUGCCCAGCUAGUGUAUGUCCUAUUGAUUGGUGUUCAAUCAAUUGGUGUACUUUGAUUUCAGUCCUCAGACAGGAGUAAUCAACAAAAUUUAUAAACCUAUUUCACCAUAUACUAGGGUAGCAUUAGCUAGCAUAGCAUAGUGGCUCUAGGAUCGUCCACAGGGAUAGGUUUUCAAAUUACAACUCAUAUUAGUUCAAAAACUGAAUUGGUACUUUUUCUUUUCAAGGUUAGCUUUAAAAGAAAACAUAAGUAUGUGUGAAAAUAUUGGUUUUAAGUGAAACAAAAAAUAAAGUAACUGAAAUUACUUACAAAGAAAAGUGCUUCUUGGAGUUUUAGAUCACUAGGCUCAUGUUCCUAAUACAAAAAGGGAGAUUCCGGUCACUUGGAUCUUUUCCUCGCAUUGGGGAUUUAACAUAUAGUUAUCUCCCGAACUGGUGUGGUACAGAUGUUUUUUCUUAAUGGUUUGAAACACUAAAUCCCUGUCACUGAAUCAUCUUGCAAUGGUUCAUACCUCUCACCUGGUAUUGGCCAUUCAAGGUGAUCCUUAACCUUGGAUUACCUAUCAAAAGCUCGCAAAAGAUAACUAAUGGAUGUCUCCUAAGAGUCCAAAAGCUUACCAAGUGUUGGCUAUUCUAGAUAAUCCUACCUUUAAACCACCUCCCAGAGGCUCGCAAGAUAUAAACUAGCGGAUCUCAAUGGACGGAGUCCACUUGCCUUACCAAGUGUUGGCCCAGGUGAUCUUAAGGGAUUUUAAGUUAACUAAAAAGAUAAAAACCAUUAACGGGUCGUACUUUCUCUUCAUCAAAAACUAAAACAACGAAACUUCCACUUUUAUAUCCGGAACCUUACCUAGCUUCCUUCACUCUGAGAAACAAAAAAGCCUAGCCACUCAUCCUUUGGGAAAACAUCCUCAGAGUUUGAUUUGCUAGAAAUAAAAAUAAAAGAGAAAACAAAAUGAGAAGAUAAGGUAGAACAGAGCUUUGUGUAUUACUUUCUAAAAAAAAACUAUACAAAGUUCCGUCUCUGAGAAAAACUCCCCGAGAGAUCUCUUAAAAGAAAAUUACAAUAGAUAUUAUAUAGAGAGGCUAUUCACCCCUCCUGCUAACUUCCCAACCAAGAAAACUUGUCAUUGGUGGGUUACAAGGAGAAAAUAGGGAUUUACACACAAAUAUCUGAAGAUAAAUAUCAAAUAGAGUCGGUGCGCAAAUAUCUCAGAUUAUAGGUGGAUUUUGCAAGUUCAAACGCAACUUGCGAAGAUUUCGCAAGUUGCGAAAUUGUCCUACAACUAAUCAGCUCUCUAUCCUGCAGUGAUUCCUUUCCUCUUCCUAUUUCGCAAGUUACAAAAAUUUCACAAGUUGGAUUCCACAACUUGCAAAAUUGCUGGAUGGUUGAUUUCUUCUGUGAUUUUCUUCCUUGCAUCCUCGUUUGGCUUUGGCAAAGGGUUAUAAAGCUCCAAAGCUUAGUUUCUUCAUGAAUUUGAGCUUCAACUUGCUUUGCCAUGAACUAUACAAAGAUCUACCUCAUUCUUGGAUUGCUUUGGUGAUCAAAAAGCUAUGAAAAACACCAAAACUUAACACAAUUUGAUUAGAAACGAUUGCAAGGGUCCUUAAUAUGCCAAUUGAGUUAAAAGGUAAUAACUACUACUCAAAAGUGUUUAAAAGAGUUCAUUACAAGCUAUAAAAUAACACUUUUUGAGUAGUAAUCAGAUACCUGGAGUACUACAAAAGUCAUAGUGACUCUUUCUUUAGUUUUUCUUAGCCAGAGUUGCUACGUACAAGGCUUAGUGGACAAUAGAGAAUAACGAUCAAUAGGCCAUACCGAUUGUUGGUAUCUAUUGAUUAGAUGAUUGUUGAAGAUAAUUGAUUAUUUAUGAAAGCCCACUAUCACUUUAAUUGACUCAUUGAUAGUUGAAAUGAAAAAUUGGAAAUGAGGCACCUAGGGUUUUUUCUAAACAUAUUUGUUUUAAUUAUAUGAUGUUCAUAAUUUCUUAAACUUGUCAAAAAAAAAAUAAUUUGGGCUUAAAAUCCUUUUUAAAUUGAGAGAUCUAAAUCAGUUUUUACAUAGGUUCAAUUUUAACUCUAUUCUAAACACUUGAACUGAUUCUAAAAAAUUAAAUUAUUUCUUGAUUUAUUUAAUUUAAUUUUAUAUUUUUUUUCCUUAAUCUACACUUCUCAAAGUUAAUUUAGGACCCUAGUUCAUUGAAAAUCAAUUCCUCAAGUAGGAGAUUUUUUUUUUCUUGCACUUGUUGCAUAAACCCCGUUCUAUAGUAAAGGUUGAUUGGCUUAAUUUAAAUAUGUUAUUUGUGAAAUUCUAUUAUGUUGUUAUUAUUCAUGUAAAAUAGACAUUUUGAAUGUAUUGUAAAAGUUUUUAUUUGAUUUUAUUAUGCUUCUAAGUUAGUCAAAUAAAUUCAAUUUGAUAUGUCAUUGAAAUUUGCUCUAUUUUUUCCCAAUGUGAUAUUGAAUUAAUUUGGUAUUUAUCAAGAUAUAAUUAAAUAAUUUGGUCUUUUGGGGUUAUAAUUCGAACACAAGAAAUUUUGUCCAAUAUUUUUCACAAUGAAAUUUAUUUUCUAGAUAUUUGUUUAGGAUUUAUUUUGCAAGUCUCUCUAUUCUAAUCGUAUGUUGAUUAUUCUAUAUAGUGUCCUUCUAGGUAUUUUUUUAGUAUUUACUUUUUGAAUGCCCUUGUUUUGCCAUGUUGCUGAAGGUCUUGUUUGUUAUUGAUAAUUUAGCUUCCUUAUGCGUGCUUAUAGGUUGGUUUGACUUUUAUCAUAUAUUGUAGAUAAAUUAUAUGUACUAGUUAAGUUAUUUUUCAUGUUUCUAUCCUUCUCUUGACAUGUUAUUUGGAAUUAAAUUUUGAAUGAAUCUAGGUUGAAUUCUUAAAUCCGAUUGUUGUGUAUUAUUUCAUCUUGUUUCAUUUCUUUGCUCUUUAUUUUGGAUUUGAUUGUAUAUGAUAUGAGACAUUGCCUAUGAUAUUUCAUUCACUAUUUCAUUCAUUAAGCUAAAACUAUUGAUCUUAUGAAAGUAAUUUAUAUGCUAUUAAGGUUCGCUUCCUUUAUCCCUUAUUUAUUUAAUUCCAUUGACAUGUAUGCCUUGUUUUUUUUUAUAUAUAUUCUUAUGCUUGAUUACAUCUUGCUAUGCCUUGGUCACUUAUUCAAUUCUUGAUUUGAGUGGAAAUAUGUAUUAUAGGACAUUUGUUAUAUUAUGCUUAUUGAACUAUCCUUAUUGUUUUAUGGAAACACUUUGGAUUGCAAUUAAGAUACGUUCAUUCUCUUUUCUUGUAUGCUUGAUUUCACUUGAUAUGCAUGUCUUGUAUGAGUAGUAUUUUACUAGGCUUUUGUUACUAUUACCUUUACCUUAUUCUUGUUUCUUGGUAUCUACUAAUUUACAAAUCAAUUAUCAUAAUUACCUCAACUUGAUUAGUAAAGACCUUAAUUUAAGGCUUAAAGGGAUGCUACCUUAUGGUAGCUUCCAAAUAAGUAACCUGACCCUUGGAUUUAGACUUAAUUUUUAAAGACAUAUUUUUUCAAAUAAAGAGUCAUUUUUUAAGGUUUUAUUUCUUAUUUUAUUUUCCUUUUAAAAAAAUAAAUAAAAAUAAGUGGUAACUCUAAUUUUUUAUGAAAGUCAAUUUUUCACUAAAAAACAAGUCUUGCUAUCGAGUGGGGAUGCACUUGAAAAAUAUAGGUUCACAAAAUGGCGACUCCAUUGGGGAUCAUAGAGGGUCAAGUUUGAACUCUAGUUGAGGAAAAUAUGGUGUUUGGUUAUUCAAUUAGUGGAUACCCUACCUUUACGCUUUUGUAUAAUUGAGUGUUGAUAACACAUUAAAAACUUUGAUAUGAUGAUUAUCUAUGAUGCUUGCUCAAUUGUUAUAUUCAUUUGAGAUCUUGACCUAUUGAUUAUAUUGGUUGAUUCUCUUGCCUAUCUUAGCAUGUUGCAUCUUCUUGUUUUAUGCUUAUUGUGCUUAUCUUAGUAUGAUGAUUGAUCUUGUUAUAUGGUUAUAUGCCUUGUCUUAUCCUUGCUUAGCUUGAGUGUAGAUAUGGAUGAUACACCUACUUUGCAUGACUGUGUGUUGCAUGACUACCCUUUUGUUGCUUGAUUGUAUUUGCUUGUCUAUGUGGGAUGCAAAUUUAUCCCUUUAUCUCUAAUUCCCUAGUCUCGGUCGACUUUGUUUUACUUGAUCUCAUAUUUUAUAUGAGACUUGUUGCUUUUUUUGUUCUCCAACCAAGCUAGUGAUUCGAAAUAAGGUAUAGUGAUGACCUAUAUGUAUAUUUGGGAGCAUAAAGGAGGUUGUCACAUUGAUGUUGAUUGAAGUUCGAUCUUUGAAGACUUGUAUAACUGAGAGCUAGAUUUUUGGAUACUUGUGUGACUAGUGUGUUCACUUUUCUAUUUUGGAUUGAUAGGUUUUUCGAAUGCUCCCAUAUCAUUCACUAUGCACUUUAGAUCAUCACUAAGUGUUGAGAGUGUAAGAGUCUUCACCAUUAGGAAAGCCCUUAGGAUGUGAGGUAGUGUGUUUGUGGAUGUGAUGACCACCUUGCAUGAAAGCACACUAUCUCUUCAAAGGCGUACAGGAGGUUGCAUACCGCUAGAGGGUAUGAUCAUUUCUAUUAAGGACCCUUUUUUAGCAUACCUUUUUCUUUUAGAGGCGCCUUGACCUUGUAAGUUUAGCUUAGAUCCCUCUAUUAGAAAUUUCUUUCCUACAUGUGGAUGCAUCUGAGAUUCUUUAGGGCCUCUUUAGUCAUAGUUUAGAUCAAUAUUCCCUAAUUUUUAGUCUCCUGUUGGGUAUGCUAAUAGAUUAGUGUGAGUUUGAGUAUUAGUUGGACCUCUCUUUGUCCGUUGUGUAAUAUUCUCUUUCAUCCUUUGAGUCUAGUGUAUGUUCUCCCUAGGGCAUUAGUCAACUUUCCCUUCUUAGUUUAGGAAAUCUCUCAAUUUAUUGUUACAUCCUAUUUAGUGCUUUAGGAUAUGCUUAUUGAUCAUGAUCAUCCUUUUGUAUUCUAUACCAACCAUGGGCCCAAUACCUCACCCUCCAUCUAAUGUACUUGAUUCCAUUUUCAACUCGAAGUUCAUCAUGUUUUUUACAUAAAUGUGAAAGGCAUAGUUUUCAUAUUUGUACCCUUAUUUUUUGAGAGAUCUGUCAUAAUCACCUUAUCAUUUUCCUUUAUUAAAGCUCGAGUUGAAAGUUAAAUUAAAUAUGUAAUGCUUGAGAUGAAGUAUCCAUCUUAUGAUAGUAUUAUUCUUUAAACCUCUUUUAUCUUAGAUUAUUAAUAAAAAUUAUUUAAUCACAUUUGUAGUCGUCUCAUAGUGGAUACCUUUAUGACUCUAGAGUUUCUAUCAUACAUUUAGAUUUUGGAUUGUCACCUUAAGACCAUAUGUUUGUCUUAUAUUGUAUUGUCAUCUUUAGUGUCUUCUUUUAUGUCUCUCAUCGUCUUGUUGUAUCAGUUUCAUUGUAGGAAGUUUGUUUGGUAAGAUUCAAUGAAGUUUGGAGUCACAGCCUUGGAGAAGGGUUGAAGGCAAAUUGGUUAGAUUAGAUUCUUGUUAGGGUUCAAACAGACUGGUUGAGAUGUUGGAUGAGUUGGCUUCUACACUUGCUUCCAUUCAGGAGUUCAUGGUAAGGAUUAGUAAACAUUUGAAUUAAGUAGAGUUCUCACUAGGAUCAUUAGCUAGUUGUUAUGGGUAUAGCUGAGAUGGUUCUUAUUAUAUCCUAAACAACAUAGGUACCUCCACCUGGGGUCUCACAUGGUAUUUCAUUUCACUUAUUGGACCAUUAUGAGAUUACUCCACCACCUGCUACCCCGGUGUCACCUCCCAUUGUUCCUACUAUUGAUGAUACUAGAUUAGCAGAGUAGGAGGCUAGAGUGAAGAUACUUAAGACUAGGAUGAGACAUAUAAGAUUAUAGGAAAGGGGCUUAACUAAGGAUGAUAGAGAUGGUAUACAGAUGACUAGCUUACUCACCAAAUUCUACAUACUAGACAUUGAGCGCUACAAUGGAGUGGGUUGCCUAAAGAUUCAUUUGAGGCUUUAUAGUACCAUCAUGAGACCACAUGGACUAAAUGAUGCAUAGUUGGUUACACUCUUCCCUAUGUCACUUAGUGUAGUAGCAUAUAGGUGGUUUGCAUCAGUUGAACCUUCAAGACUUCGUACUUAAAAGGAUGUAGCCCAUGAAUUUCUAACACAGAUAACUUUCAAUUCUAAUAUUGAUGUUCUAAACGAGAGUUAGAGGUUACUAAACAAAGGUUGGAAGAGAUUAUUUCUUCAUUUGUCAAUGGUUAGAGGGUAAAGGUGGCUAGUAUUAUAGAUUAGCCUAAUGAGUAGGAUCAAAUUGUCAUGGUUAUUCAAAACCUUUAGCUGAGGUUUGCUAAACACCUUAUAGGUAUUCAUUUCUAGGAUUUCAGGAGUUUAGUUCAAGUUAUCUUCAGUGUGGAGGAGGGCACUACUAGAAGUUUAUGAAUAGAUGCUACUUCUUGCUUGGACAACAAUGGGAAGAAGCAUGUUUGAUCACCCGGGAGGUCUAGAGAAGUUAGAAUUAAUCUAAGAACAUUCAGAUCAAAGGUAUAUGACAUUAUUCUCUAGAUCUAUAUUUUUGUGGUAUCAAUAUUGUUUUUUGAAUACCUAGUUUUCCACUAUGAUAGAUUUAAAGAGCCUAAGAUAGAUUCUCAUGAACCUCGAUGACCUGGGGCAUGGGAAUAGAGUAAUCUAGGGUUCCUCACACAUCUAUAUCCAUACCUUGACCUUUUGGACUUGUUGACCUGCUUACUAUUAUGAGUCUUACAUAUCACCACUCCUUAAUACCAAUACAUGACCUUUCCAUCUUGAUAUAUCCUAGCUUGGUAUAGUAUUAUUGCCUACCCUUUCCAUUCUACUUUUCAUCUAAUCAAGUAGAGUUUAAGAUGAUAGGACUUGAGGUGAGUUUUACAUCAUGAUGAUGGAUGGUUUGUGAAAAGAGAGUGGGUUGGUUCCUUGAUGUUGUUGACUAUUUAAUAGUUGAGAUGGGCAAAGAGGUAGUUAUAGAGUAUCCAAAUUGAGUUCUUACACAUGAUUGUAAAGAGUUGACAUGGCUAUAUAGGUUGGUUUUAUGGUAUGGUAAUGAGUGGUUUAUUAUGAGGGAGUCAUUUGAUUGCUUGAUGAUAUUGUUGACCAUUUGAUGGCUAAGAUAGGCAAAGAAGUUACACGGUGUGUUUGGAGUGGACUUUCACAUUAUUUUAGAGUGUUUACAUGAUUAUGUUGGACAGAUGUCAGUCUUUAGUAUUGUCCAUGUGAUGGCUUGAAAACAUCAUGUUCAAGGUUGUGGUUGAAAGAUGGGUGGUCAUUGUUUCAUAAACAUAUUUACCCGAUUAUCCCAUACAUAUAGAAUUACCUAUUACUAACCCUUUAAGCCUCACACGUGCAUCAUAACAUUUUCUUUCAUCGCCUCAUUUACCUAUUACACUUGGUUAGGGACCUUAUAGUGUUUGCAUGGUCUCAUAAGCUUUGGACAUGAUAGAAAUAUUUGGAUUUUAUCCCUCACUCUCUUCAUAGUAAUAUUUCUACUUUUUCAUCAUCAUCGUCAUCUUUUUCCUAUAUCGCAUAUCACCACUUAUUAUGUUCAUUCACUCUUCCUUUCCCUUGUCAUUGCCUACUUUACACUAUCUUUGUUUUACCUUAAGUGGUAGUUUUCCACACAUUACUACAUAAAGGAUUAACAUAUCCUUUUCUCUAUUUCAUAUCAUGGGUAGUGAUUCAGAGAUCUUAGUUUAAGAGGUUAUCUUGUCAUUAAGGAUUCAUGUUACAUCAGUAUAAAGGAGAGUUUAUCCAUUUGGUUAUGCAUGUUCAUAGAGAUUGUUCAUUAUUGAUUAGAGUAAGCAUAAAAAUAAAAAAUAAAAAGUAGCACAUUAUUUGUGUUGGAAACCCUAGAUUACUCCAUUCCCAUGCCAUGAAUCAUGUAUAGCGCAUGCAAAUCUAUCCUAGGCUCUUUAAAUGUAUCAUAGUAGAUAAACAAGUAUUAAAAACAAUAUGGAUAACAUAGAAAACAUGGAUCUAGAUAAUAAAGCCACAUACCUUUGAUCUGGAUAUUCCCGAAUCAAUUCCAAUUAAUGUAGAUAACUCCAAAGUCAUAAUGGAUCUUGUAAACACCAUGAUCUUCUACCCAAUGAGUCUUUCUUGUGUCUAGGCAUUGAUAUGGUAGAGAUCUCAAGGGUGGAGUCUAAGGUUCUCUCUUUAUAGUGAAGGGGAGAACAACAAGACUUGGAACUAUCCCCUAAAGGGGUAUUUAUAAGCUUUCUAUUAAGCUUAAGUGACUUAAGCCCACUAUGAGCUUAGGUCACUUAAUCUAGUCCAAAAAGGUUGCUAAUUGAUUAAUUAACCAUACAAGGUCUAAUUAAUCAAUUAGCCCAAUCUAGAGAUACCAUUCACUUAUCCCUUUACAACCUUGCAUAAUUAUCAAAAUGCCCUUAUGCACAAAAGUAAACUAAAAACCUAUCCAACUAUCAUAAGUUGUGUCAACAAGGAAUAUGAGCUCAGAGAAGGAACCAUUGAGACCCAUAGAAGUACUGGCUCCCUCAAAACCAACUUCUAAAAUUGACUUAACAACCCACUAUAAAGAGUCAACUACACUCUAGUACCCUAUGUAUAUUACAAUGAGACACCAAGUGCUUAGGUCUGUGACCUACUAUCCAUUGCAUGCAGACUUCCCACGAACUGGUGUUCAUAAUCUAACAAGGUAGUGUUACCACCUAUCAAGAUUACCACUCAAAUCCUUGAGUUACAUAUCCCACUAUCAUGUGAUCAAAUGACAUACUCUAUCUCCAAGAAGUAUAUGCCAAAUUCCACUAAAGGAAUUACUAUGGCCACAUAUUUCAUGAUCACAUGUCCUUUGGAUCACCCAAGGGAACACACUAUUUCAAUCCAAUGAGAUAUCAUGAUGCCUUUAUCAAGAAAGCUUGUUACCACCAGCCUCCAUCAACAAUGACCCAAUCCAUAGGGAUAUAUGACCACUUUAGGGUCUCACCCAUAGGUCAAAGCCUCCUAUUGAUUUUAGCAGAGAUUCAAUAUCCUCUCAAGGUCAAAAGUCCAUGCAGUAUAGUAGCUUGGUGAAUCAUGACAAUUGAUAGCCUUGUGUUAUGAUUCAUCGUAGGUCUUGUCCAGUGUGCAUCACAUACACUAGUGCACUAACCAUAGGAAACCCAUCCCGACAGCCAAGAUAAACCAUCUCUCUAAUUAAGAGGUGGUGCUAUAGUCUCUACUGGAUUGCCCAAAUCCAUGAACUAACUAUGGACAAUUUAUCUACUUACAAGGAACCCAUAACUUGUAUCUUCUGUUCAACUCCUAAAGCAUCCAAGUCAUGUACAAUGUAAGAGACAUGGGUUGAAUGCUCAAAUAAAUGUUAAUACACCAAAGGAAUAGCAAAGGGAUAGUUAAGUCUAACUUUAUUACAUCAUGUUUUGUUUUUAGGGGCUCAAUCCCAACAGUUUGUACGUUUAUCGUACUAGUCUCUAUCGAGCAUGUGUAUGUAUGUGGGAAUUUGCUUCAUUGGGUUCAUAUGUUGAUGAGACUUCAUAUUUGAACUCCUUGGGAUCCUCUUUUUACUUGAUUCUAUUGUGAUAUAUACUUCUCGGUCAGAGUGUGAGCCAUUUGACUAAUAUGAGAAAGGCGAGCGACCCCUCCUUAGGAACUUUGGAUCUUUGCUUUAUUCAUUAUUUCAUUCAUUUAUGAUAUCACUUCUAUAUAUUCUUUGAUGUGGGUUGAACAGUACUCAUGUUUCUUUAUCUUUCCUUUCCAUUUCCUUUAUUUCAUUACUUCCUUUUAUUUUUUCAUAUUUGAUCUCUUUCUUCUUUUUCUCAUCCCACUCAAUGUCGAAUUUGGAUUUAGCAUUCACAUCUUAUUUGUAUUCCUCUUCUUGAUGUUUGAAAUGUUCAUUCCUCUACCAUCAUUGUUUUAUGUAAGACAUCCCUAGGUCCAAGAUUGAUGAUGUUUUCUACGCAUUGCAUCUCAUGCAUGAGGGGUAUGUGAUUCGUGCCCAAUUGGUGUCUCAGCUGAUUUGUGUCCAGCUGGUGCUCCUUGAUUGAGGGAGUAAUCAACAAAAUUUAUAGCCUAUAACACCAUAUACUAGGGUAGCAAAGAAAAAGCUACUAUAGUAUAGUGGCUCUAGGAUCGUCCACUGGGAAAGAUUGACAAGCUCUCAAUGAUACCAAUUCCAAGUGAAUUGGUUUUGCUUCAUUUCAUGGUUAGCUUAAGAAGUAAAACACAAACUUUGAUUGGUAAAGGUUGAGACUUAAACUAACUAUCAUAACAGAAGUUUGGAAUAAUUUAGGAAGAAAAACAUUCCUUGGAGAUUUAGGUUCAUUGGGGUGGUUCCUCAUGCAAAAGACAUAGCUCCGGUCAGAUGGUUCAUUUCCUCGCGUUAGAGAUUCAACAUAUAGUCAAAUCUCUAACCGGUGUUGUACAGAGACUCCUUCAAUUAGAUUUCACUUUAAUUCUCUCACUGAUGCACUUUGCAAUGGUUUAAGCCUCUCACUAAGCCUUAACCAUUCAAGGUGAUCUUUAACCUUGGAUUACCCGUCAAAAGCUCGCAAGAGAUAACUAAUGGAUGUCUCCUAGGAGUCCAAAAGCUUACCAAGUGUUGGCUAUUCUAGAAAAUCCUACCUUGAAGUCACCUCCCAAAGGCUCACAAGGGGUAAACUAGUGCAUUUCCAUGGUUGGAAAUCACUUGCCUUACCAAGUGUUGGCCCAGGUGACUCUAAGGUGUUUUAAGUUAACUAAAAACAUAGAAAUCACUAAAGGAUUUCACUUCCUCUUCAUUAAUAGUUAAAACCACAGAGCUCUGCAUUCUUGCACUUGGAACCUUCCCCGGCAACCUUAGCUCCAAGGAAUUAGAGGUUUAGUUACUCAUUCUCUGGGGAAAACUCCUCAGAGAAUUCAUAACUUAGAAAUAAAAUGAAAAUACAAAGUGAGAAGGUAAGGCAGUAGAAAGAAAAUAGACUUUACUUGCUUACCCAAACGUUUACAGAAGGAACUCCUCUCUGAGAACAGGCUCCCGAGAGGUAUAUAUAUGAACAUAAUAUAAAACUAAUUAUUACAUAGAUAUUUAGUCUUUUUACUAACUUAAAAACUAAGGAAUCAUGUAAUUGGUGGUUUACAAGGAGUAUUUUGGGAUUUAGACAACAAAAAUCUAAUGGAAAAUAUCUCCCAAUGUCGGUAGAAAAUAUCGGGAGGCUUCAGGAACCAUUUCGCAGGAGAAAAAUGGUGUCUGCGAGAUUUCGCAAACACUCAAGAGGGCUGCGAAAUAAUUUCGCAACACCAAGCUAUCUUCACAAGGCUGCGAAGUUGGCUUCUACCUUGAGGUUCCUAGCUUCCUUCUCGCGGCAUAAAUCGUGCAUCGUCAGAAGGAGAAACACCUUACUGUACAAAAAUGCUGCGAAGUCACUUCGCAACAAAAGGGUGAUUAUCAGCACUUUGCAAAAUGCUUCCUUCAGCUCGGAGUGAUUGGAUUGUAAUGGCUGCAACUUCUUCGUUUCAACUCCGAAUUGCACACCGUUUGAAGAAUUGGAUUGUUGACUUCCUGAGCUUUGAAAUGGUAUAUAGCAUGCAUCAUUUGGACUUCAGAAAGUGCUCCAAAAGUGGCUGCUAUGACUGUCAUUAAGAAUAUGCUUUAUGGCAGAUUCUCUUUGCUUUUUCUCCUUGCAAUCCGGAUUCACUCUUGGCAAAUGACUUCUAAGCUUUGCCCAAGAUUCCUCAUAAUUCUCCUCAGUCUUGACUUGAUUUGGUGAUCAAAUUACUAACAAAAACACCAAAACUUGCACAAAGUGAUUAAAAUUGCUUUAAAGGAUCCUUAACAUGCCAAUUGAGUUAAAAGGCCUAAACUACUACUCAAAAGUGUUUAAAAAGAUUAAUUAUAGGCUAUCAAAUAGCACUUUUUGAGUAGUAGUCACUCCCCCCAACCGACAUAUUGCUAGUCCCUUAGCAAUAUAGGAGAGAAAAAUGAAAAUAAAUAACAAACUAAUCUAAAAUUUACAACAUCAUGCUAAAGGAAAAUAAUUCUCAAAUGGCAUGAUGAUCUAUUUCUCACAUGAAUCAUUAAAGAAAUACAAAUCCAAAUCUCAACAAGAGUCAUAACACCUAUGCUAAACACUGUCAAUCAAGGGAGUGCAUUAUGCAAACUGAAGUUUUAAAAUCAUUUCCACUUCUAAGAAUCAAACUUUAAUCUUCCACAAAAAUCUAUGUGUAUUGGUUCCUUAGGUUCCGAGAAUAAUAUGCUACUAAUCUCACCCCCCAACCUAUCUCUUUUUAACACUUUAGCAAUAAUCUGACCAUAAUCAAUAAGAAAAGAACACACCUUUUUUUUUCAAGGCAGCUUUAUGGGGUACUCUUUCUAACUUGUCCACGUAAUGGGGGUCCAUCGAUGACUCCCAACCAAUUAAGGUUUAGGGCACCAAGUUUUAAGGAUCUUUCAACCACUAACUCCUCGGAUUUUUCCCCGGACUUUUAAGAAAGAAAUUCUACUACCCAAGCAUCUACCAUAUGCUAACUCUACCUAUUCACCCUUAUAACGAGCAUUGAGGUCGGUGACUCCCAACCAAUUAAAGCUUAGGGCACCAGGCUUAAAAGAUUUUCACCAUAUACCCCUCAGACCUUGCUCGGGUUUCAAGGCAAGCAAACAACUUUCUUUAUUUCAAAGGCUCAUUGGCCUUUUGCAGGGUGUUUCAAUUUUAUCAAAUGAGGUCAAAUAUACCAAGUCCCAAAAUUAUCUUAAGUCGAGAGGGAAAUAGCUUUUCAUCUUAUAAUCGGAAUCUAAUGUGCACAGUGUGUGGAUAGCUUAAAGUGGAAGAACUAAAUUCAAUUUCACUAGAAGUUUCAACAAUUGAACCACUUUAGUAAGCAUAAUCCAUACUCUAAGUCAAGUGAAAAAACAACAGUUCAAUUUCUCUUGGUUUAAUUUGAAAAUUUUUCCUCAAAAUUCAUGGAGAAUAGAGUAACAAAAGUAAAAAGUAAAAACUACAACUAAUUAACCAAUAUAAUUGUAUUAUCAAAAAGAUUUAGCACUUCCUUCCUCAUUCCCCCCAACCGAACUGAGCAUUGCCCUCAAUGUGAUAUGAGUGACUGUAUUUAAAGAGAGGAAGUGGUACCUCCUUGCUGAUAUCAAAUUCGAAUAUUGAUUGGGGAAAACCACAUGUUUCAAAAAGAAUAGAAUAUGUGAGAAAAGGAAAUAAGAAUAACUUAAUGCUAACUUUUAACAAGAAAUAUUCAACUUGUAUUACUUUGAGUUCAUUUGAUUACAAUGCUAAAGACAAGUAAUACAAGGAAUCCCAAAUAUAGUACCAAAAUACUGGGAUUUCUUUUCAACUAAAAAAAAACGAAAUACAUAAAAAUAUUAGAUAUCUAAUAUAGUCUGAUGAAUGGGGUGGUGGUGUUAGGCAGAAGGAUCUGCCUCUUCAGUAGGUGCAUCAGCUGGGGCUUGGGGCUCAGGAGGAUGAGACUCUGAAGGAUGAGAGUGUGGCUCUGCUGGUGUAUCAGUGGAGGGCUCUACAGCUUGUGGUAGAUCGAAAUGGACUUGGAGCUGCCUUAAGAUGGUAGCUUGUUGAGCCUGAGUGGCCAACAUCUGCUCUUGGCAUGCUCUGAUGGUUGCCAUCUCCUGAGCAAGAUUGCUCUAAGAAGCUGUAAGAGUCUCCAAUGUACGGCACAACUCUCGAUAUUCAGAUAUAGGAAUGGCCAUCCUCGGCUCAACUGAUAUGGAUGGCUGAGAUGAAGCAGGUGUAGCUGGUGGAGCUCUAGGAAUGGUAGGAGCAGCAACUGUUAUACCCUCGGGUAUAUGUCUUGGGGAUGCUCUCCUUGCAGUUGGCUGAGGCUGCCCAGGCUGAUCAACUUUGUAGGUCGUCAUGUUAUUCCAUUUAUCAAGAGUGAAUGGCUCACGGCAAAUAUUUCCCUGUUAGCUAGCUCAACUUGCCCGGAAGUCUGAGGAUGAUAAGGUGUGGCCACCUUAUGCUUCACUCCAUACUUGGAUAACAAAGCUUCAAAAGGUUUGUUGCAAAAAUGAGCACCUCCAUCACUGAUUAUGGCUUUGGGCAUCCCAAAUCUUGAGAAAAUGUUCUCUUUAAGAAACUUGAGAACCACCCUGUGAUCAUUUUGUUUACAGGGGAUUGCCUCAACCCAUUUAGAAACAUAAUCCACCCCCACCAAGAUGUAAGAAUUACCAAAAGACAUUGGGAAAGGUCCCAUGAAGUCAAUGCCCCAUACAUCAAAUAACUCAACUAUCAUAAUGGGGUUCAUAGGCAUUUGAUUUCUUUUUGUUAGCUUUCCAAGCCUUUGGCAUCUAUCACAAUUUCUACACAUGAUGUAGGCAUCCUUAAAAAGAGAUGGCCAAGUAAACCCUGAUUGCAAUACCUUCAUGGCGGUUUUCUGAGAGGCAAAGUGGCCUCCACAUGCAUUCUCAUGACAAUGAGAUAAAAUCCCUUGUUGCUCAUCUUCAGGGACACACUUCCUAAUAAUCUGAUCUGCACAAUACUUAAAGAGAAAGGGCUCUUCCCAAUAAUAAGAAUGAAUUUUGGAAAAGAAGUGCUUCCUGUCCUGUGCAUUCCACUCACUUGGAAUUUCACCAGUUACUAAAUAAUUAGCAAUAUGAGCAUACCAAGGAGUUUUCACUAGGAACAUGAGUGAUUCUUCAGGAAAAUCAUCAUUGAUAGGCAAGGGAUGGGAGUUAUGUGCUAUAACUAACCUUGACAAGUGGUCAGCUACUACAUUCUCCACUCCUUUCUUAUCUUUGAUUUGAAGAUCGAACUCUUGUAACAAAAGAAUCCAUCUAAUCAAUCUUGCUUUUGCAUCUUGCUUUGUCAAUAAAUACUUCAAGGCUGAAUGGUUAGUGAAGACAAUAAUGAAAGACCCCACUAAAUAAGCUCGAAAUUUGUCCAAAGCAAAUACCACAGCUAACAAUUCUUUCUCUAUAGUUGUGUAGUUCCUUUGAGCUUCAUUUAGUGUUUUACUUGCAUAGUAAAUCACAUAGGGCUUCCCAUCUUCUCUUUGGCCAAGCACAGCUCCUAUAGCAAAGUCACUGGCAUCACACAUCAAUUCAAAAGGUAAUUGCCAGUUAGGGGCUCUCACUAUUGGAGUUAUUGUUAAAAAUUUCUUCAGUUGAUCAAAGCUAUGCUGACACCUUUCAUCCCAUAUAAACUUAGCAUCCUUAGCUAACAGCUCACAAAGAGGUUUUGAAAGACUUGAAAAACCUUUUAUAAACCGCCUAUAGAAACCUGCAUGGCCAAGGAACUGCCUUACUCCUUUUACAGUUGUUGGAGAUGGUAAUUUGACAAUAAGCUCCACCUUUGCUUUAUCAACUUCAAUGCCUUUUUCAGAGAUGAUAUGGCCAAGGACAAUUCCUUGACGUACCAUAAAAUGGCAUUUCUCCCAAUUGAGCACCAGGUCUUUUUCAAUGCAUCUAUGAAGAACUGCUUCCAAAUUAACCAAGCAUUCCUCAAAUGUACCUCCAUAUACGGUGAUGUCAUCCAUGAAAACCUCCAUAAUUCGCUCCACCAUAUCACUGAAAAUACUCAACAUACAUCUUUGGAAUGUAGCAGGUGCAUUGCAUAAACCAAAAGGCAUUCUCCUGUAAGCAUAUGUUCCAAAUGGACAUGUAAAAGUGGUCUUUUCCUGAUCUUCCAAAUCAAUUUCAAUCUGAAAAUACCCUGAAUACCCAUCCAAGAAACAAUAGAAUGGAAGUCCAGAGACUCUCUCCAGCACUUGGUCAAUAAAUGGCAAUGGAAAAUGAUCUUUCCUGGUUACAACAUUCAGCUUUCUAUAAUCAAUACACACCCUCCAACCUGAAGUGAGGCGUGUAGUAAUUUCUUCCCCUUUUUCAUUUUGAACCACUGUAAUCCCUGACUUCUUUGGUGCCACUUGAGUAGGACUCACCCAAGGGCUAUCAGAAAUAGGGUAAAUGAUUCCUGCUUGAAGUAGCUUCAGCACUUCAGCUCGCACCACCUCUUGUAGAUGAGGAUUCAACCUUCUUUGAAAUUGACGAAUUGGCUUUGCUUCCUCCUCCAUAUAUAUAUGAUGAGUACAAACUAAAGGACUAAUGCCUUUUAAGUCAGAUAUUUGCCAUCCUAUUGCCUUCUUACACCUCUUGAGAACUUCCAUUAAACAAUUCUCUUGAUGACUGGUCAGAGAUGAAGAUAUCACAACAGGACAUUGAUUAUUUGCUUCAAGAUAUGUAUAUUUCAGCUCCACAGGUAAAGGCUUCAGAUUGAGUUUUGAAAUUUCUUUUUCAACAGCUGCAUCCUCUUCUUUAUUGAACAGAGGUAGAAUUUCUUCUAUCUUUCUCCAACUUUGUAGAGUAGCAAGCCCAAUAGGAGAUUCAGAAAAACCUUCCUCAAAAUUCACAAGACUUUUAUUCAACUUGUCUUGCAUAUGUUGAUUACAGUGCUCCUCCACCAAAGUAUCAAUAAUACAUAGCUCUUCUGGACCCUCUUCUUAUUCCAGAGUGAUUUGCUUUUUAGACAUAUAGAAAAUAUUGAGAUCCAGUGUCAUGUUACCAAAAGUGAGUUGCAUAAGCCCAUUCCUGCAAUUGAUGAUUGCAUUUGAAGUAGCAAGAAAUGGCCUUCCAAGGAUGAUAGGAACUAAAUUAGCUUCCUUUACAGUAGGAUCUGUAUCAAGAACAAUAAAAUCUACUGGAUAGUAGAAAUUAUCUACUUGAACCAAUACAUCCUCAAUUACCCCUCUUGGAAUUUUCACUGAUCUAUCUGCCAGAGAUAGAGUGAUUGCUGUUGACUUCAACUCUCCAAGUCCUAAUUGCUUGUAGACGGAAUAUGGAAGCAAAUUCACACUUGCUCCCAAAUCUAGCAAGGCUUUCUCCACUACCUUUCCUCCAAUCAUGACUAAAAUGGUAGGACUCCCAGGGUCUUUGUACUUCAAAGGAGACUUACAUUGUAAGAUUGCACUUACUUGCUCAGUCAAGAAGGCUUUCUUGUUUACAGUCAACCCUCUCUUGAUAGUACACAAGUCCUUUAGGAAUUUUGCAUACGUUGGAACUUGUUUGAUCAUAUCCAGCAGUGGAAUAUUGACUUUCACUUGUCUCAAUACUUCAAGGAUUUCAGCUGCAUUUCUAACCCCCUUUUUCCCAUGUAAUGCUUGAGGAAAAGGUGGAGAAGUUGAUUUCUUCAGCAUUUCUUCCUUCAGAAGCUCUUUCUCUGGAAUUGCAUUCAUCGUUGAAUCAGAGUCCUUCUUUUCUUCACUGAUCUCACUGUCUUUAUCUUCCAUUUCAUUCCUUUUCUUUAUCUCUUCUUCUUUCUCAACAUGUGGCUUGGGUGUUGGCUUCUCAAUUUUCUUACCACUCCUUAGAGUGAUCAAGGCUUUGACAUCUUUCACCUGUGAUGAUUCUCCCUCCUGGCUUUCCACUUCAUGGACACCUUUGGGAUUUUGGUGAGGUUGAGAAGGAAAUCUUCCCUUUUCUUGCAGUGUAUUCAAAUUUGUAAGCCUUGAAAUUGAAUAUUGGAUGUUAUCAAACUUUUGGUUCAUAUCAUUUUGCAUUCCAUCCAUCCUUUUAUUCAACAUACUCUCCACUCUAUCAAUUCUUUGAUCGACUCGAGCAUUAGUGGCUUCUUGCUUUUCAAUAAAAUCUCCCAUUACCUUGCUGAGAUUGGCUAUUGCUUGUUCAAUACUUGAAGAUUGCUGAGAUGGUGGAUCCGGCUGUUGGUAUUGAGUUGCUCUGGCCUUCCAUGAGAAAUUUGGAUGAUUCCUCCAACUUGAGUUGUAGGUAUUUCCAUAAAGAGCAUUGUUAUUGGGCCUGAAUUGUCCAACAACAUUUGCUUGAUCUCUAAACAUCUCCCUUUCAGUUGGAAUUGCAGGGCAUUCCUCCACCAAAUGUUCAUAUGAUUGACAAUUGGGACACAGCUUCACUUGCACUGGUGCUUCAGCAACAGCUUGCACUUCAUGUAUUUUUUUUAGCUCCAGCUCCUCCAAUCUUCUUGUCAUAGCUGCCAACUUUGCUUUCAUGUCAUCAUCCUCUUUUAAGGUAUACAUCCCAACCUUUGCAUUGUAAGCAUUCAACUGAGACUUCAUCUUUCCCACUUCUCCUUUAGUUGGUUCAUCCCAUCCCCUUGAAACAUCAGCUACAUAGCUCAAGAAAUCCAUAGCUUCCUCGGGAUUUUUGCUCAUGAAAUCUCCUCCACACAUUGUCUCGAGGAGUUGCUUCAUUGAGGAGGACAUACCAUCAUAAAAAUAGCUCACCAAUAGCCAAGUAUCAAAGCCAUGGUGAGGACAAGCAUUUAUAGCUUCCAUGUAUCUUUCCCAACACUCAUAGAAUUUCUCAUUCUCUUUAGCUGAGAAGUUUGAAAUUUACCUUUUCAAGCCAUUUGUUCUAUGAGUGGGAAAAAAUUUCUUGAGGAAUUCAGCUUGUAAAUCAGUCCAAGAGCGGAUACUCCUUGGCCUUAAAGAAUUAAGCCAAAUUUUGGCCUUAUCCUUUAAAGUAAAAGGAAAUAACUUAAGCCUCAUCAAAUCAAUUGAAGCUCCUCCCUCUUGGAAUGUAUUACAAACAUUUUCAAAUUCCUUGAUGUGUGCAUACGGAUUCUCACUUUCCAUCCCAUGGAAAGUUGGUAGAAGUGGAACAAGAUAUGGUCUGAUCACUAGCUGCUCUGUAGGGGGCACUAUACAUGAUGGUGCACUCAUACGAGGUGGAUGCAUGCGGUCCCUCAUUGAUCUGAAUUCAUUGAGAUUAUCUUGACGACCUUGGUGACUAUGCUGAUCUUCAGGUGUAGCUUCCAUGAUAUUCAAGAUCACUUCCAAUUCUUUUCUCUGAGGUGUAUCACACUUAACAAGCCUUCCUCCACUGUCUCGUAUCCACUUGGGCAUACACAACUAGUAUCUAUCUGCAACUUAAAUAAAAACAGAGGACAACAAGAGAAACAGGGCUACAACAACAAAAUUAAACUAGGCUAAAUAAAAAUAAAUAAACUUAGAUUAUGAAUAAAUAAAGAAAGAAUGAAAAUUAGUAAAGUGAAAGAAACUUUACCAACUUGUGAUGAAAAUCACAAGUGCUCAAAUAUGGUAUCAAUAUAAACUUGACACUCAUUCCCCGGCAACGGCGCCAUUUGAUUCGUGCCCAAUUGGUGUCUCAGCUGAUUUGUGUCCAGCUGGUGCUCCUUGAUUGAGAGAGUAAUCAACAAAAUUUAUAACCUAUAACACCAUAUACUAGGGUAGCAAAGAAAAAGCUACUAUAGUAUAGUGGCUCUAGGAUCGUCCACUGGGAAAGAUUGACAAGCUCUCAAUGAUACCAAUUCCAAGUGAAUUGGUUUUGCUUCAUUUCAUGGUUAGCUUAAGAAGUAAAACACAAACUUUGAUUGGUAAAGGUUGAGACUUAAACUAACUAUCAUAACAAAAGUUUGGAAUAAUUUAGGAAGAAAAACAUUCCUUGGAGAUUUAGGUUCAUUGGGGUGGUUCCUCAUGCAAAAGACAUAGCUCCGGUCAGAUGGUUCAUUUCCUCGCGUUAGAGAUUCAACAUAUAGUCAAAUCUCUAACCGGUGUUGUACAGAGACUCCUUCAAUUAGAUUUCACUUUAAUUCUCUCACUGAUGCACUUUGCAAUGGUUUAAGCCUCUCACUAAGCCUUAACCAUUCAAGGUGAUCUUUAACCUUGGAUUACCAGUCAAAAGCUCGCAAGAGAUAACUAAUGGAUGUCUCCUAGGAGUCCAAAAGCUUACCAAGUGUUGGCUAUUCUAGAAAAUCCUACCUUGAAGUCACCUCCCAAAGGCUCGCAAGGGGUAAACUAGUGCAUUUCCAUGGUUGGAAAUCACUUGCCUUACCAAGUGUUGGCCCAGGUGACUCUAAGGUGUUUUAAGUUAACUAAAAACAUAGAAAUCACUAAAGGAUUUCACUUCCUCUUCAUUAAUAGCUAAAACCACAUAGCUCUGCAUUCUUGCACUUGGAACCUUCCCCGGCAACCUUAGCUCCAAGGAAUUAGAGGUUUAGUUACUCAUUCUCUGGGGAAAACUCCUCAGAGAAUUCAUAACUUAGAAAUAAAAUGAAAAUACAAAGUGAGAAGGUAAGGCAGUAGAAAGAAAAUAGACUUUACUUGCUUACCCAAACGUUUACAGAAGGAACUCCUCUCUGAGAACAGGCUCCCGAGAGGUAUAUAUAUGAACAUAAUAUAAAACUAAUUAUUACAUAGAUAUUUAGUCUUUUUACUAACUUAAAAACUAAGGAAUCAUGUAAUUGGUGGUUUACAAGGAGUAUUUUGGGAUUUAGACAACAAAAAUCUAAUGGAAAAUAUCUCCCAAUGUCGGUAGCAAAUAUCGGGAGGCUUUAGGAACCAUUUCGUAGGAGAAAAAUGGUGUCUGCGAGAUUUCGCAGACACUCAAGAGGGCUGCGAAAUAAUUUCGCAACACCAAGCUAUCUUCACAAGGCUGCGAAGUUGGCUUCUACCUUGAGGUUCCUAGCUUCCUUCUCGCGGAAUAAAUUGUGCAUCGUCAGAAGGAGAAACACCUUACUAUUCAAAAAUGCUGCAAAGUCACUUCGCAACAAAAGGGUGAUUUCGCAGCACUUUGCAAAAUGCUUCCUUCAGCUCGGAGUGACUGGCUUGUAAUGGCUGCAACUUCUUCGUUUCAACUCCGAAUUGCACACCGUUUGAAGCAUUGGAUUGUUGACUUCCUGAGCUUUGAAAUGGUAUAUAGCAUGCAUCAUUUGGACUUCAGAAAGUGCUCCAAAAGUGGCUGCUACGACUGUCAUCAAGAAUAUGCUUUAUGGCAGAUUCUCUUUGCUUUUUCUCCUUGCAAUCCAGAUUCACUCUUGGCAAAUGACUUCUAAGCUUUGCCCAAGAUUCCUCAUAAUUCUCCUCAGUCUUGACUUGAUUUGGUGAUCAAAUUACUAACAAAAACACCAAAACUUGCACAAAGUGAUUAAAAUUGCUUUAAAGGAUCCUUAACAUGCCAAUUGAGUUAAAAGGCCUAAACUACUACUCAAAAGUGUUUAAAAGGAUUAAUUAUAGGCUAUCAAAUAGCACUUUUUGAGUAGUAGUCAGUAUGGGGAUUAUAUCUUUGGGAUUUUUUAGCCUAGUUUCCUUUCAUUUCUUUUACCCUUUUACCCUAGCCUACAUUACGUCUUGGGUCUAGAGACCAUCAUGUGGCCAUGUGAUUACUACUCAAAAAGUACUAUUUCAUAGCUUGUAAUUAACUCUUUUAAACACUUUUGAGUAGUAUUUAUUGUCUUUUAACCCAAUUAACAUAUUAAGGACCUUUGCAAGCACUUCUAAUCAAUUUGUGUUAAGUUUUGGUGUUUUGAUAGCUUUUUGAUCACCAAAGCAAUAUGAGAUUGAGGAGAGUUAUUUGGAAUCCAUGGAAAAGCAAUGGAAAGCUCAGAAACAUGAAGAACCAAAGCUUUGAAGUCCUUUGUCAUAAGCAAAACCGGAAUGCAAGGAGAGGAAGUAAAGAGAAAUCUGCCAUGAAGUAUUUUUUAUGACAGUCAUGUCAGCAACUUUUGGAGCACUUCCUGAAGUCCAAUUUAUGCAUUCUAUAUGUCGUUUCAAAGCUUAGGAAGUCAGCAAUCCAAUGCUUCAAACAGUAUGCAAUUCAGAGCUGAAAUGAAGGAGUUACAGCCGUUGGAAGCCGAACACUGCAAGCUGAAAGCCAACUUCGCAGCACUGCGAAAUCAGCCUUUUGCUGCGAAGUGAUUUCGCAGCCUUUUUGUGCGUCUGCGAAAUCUCGCAGACCUCGUUUUCACCUGCGAAAUGGUCCUUAGUGCUUCCCGAUAUUUGCGACCGACACUUUGAGAUAUUUUUCUUCAGAUUUUUGUUGUCUAAAUUCCCAAACUCUCCUUGUAAGCCACCAAUUAUAGGAUUCCUUAGCUAUUAAGUUAGGAAAAAGGGUAAAUAUCCAUGUAAUAAUUAUUAUUGUAAUUUUCAUAUAAAUAGCUCUCGGGAGCUUGUUCGAAGGAGGACGAACCUUUUGUAAAAGUUUGAAAGAAAGAAAAAUAUAGAGCCUUUGCUCUGCCUUACCUUCUCAAUUUGAUUGUAUUUUUCAUUUACUAGUUAUGCACUCUCUGAGGAAGUUUCCCCAGAGAAUGAGUAACUAAACCUUUAGUUCCUUGAAGCUAAGGUUGCCGGGAAAGGUUCCAAGUGCAAGAAUUAGUAGCUUUGUGGUUUCAGCCAUGAAUGAAGAGAAAGUGUGAUCCUUUAGUGAUUUCUAUAUUUUUAUCUAACUUAAAACACCUUAGAGUCACCUGGGCCAACACUUGGUAAGGCAAGUGAUCUCUGUCCAUGGAGAUGCACUAGUUUACCCCUUGCGAGCCUCUGGGAGGUGACUUGAAGGUAGGAUUUUCUAGAAUUGACAACACUUGGUAAGCUUUUGGACUCCAAGGAGACAUCCAUUAGUUAUCUCUUGCGAGCUUGAGAAGGGAAGUUCAAGGUUAAAGAUCACCUUGAAUGGUAAAUGCUAAGUGAGAGGCACGAACUAUUGCAAGUUGCAUCAGUGAGAGGGAAUUAGAGCUAAAAUCUAAUUAAGGGAUGCAUCUGUACAACACCGGUUAGAGAAGUGACUAUAUGUUAAUUCUCUAAUGCGAGGAAAUGAACCAACUGACCAGAGCUAUGUUUUUGCAUGAGGAACCUCCCCUGUGAACCUAAAUCUCCAAGGAAUGUUUUUCUUCAUAAGUAAUUUCCAUUACUUGCUGUGUCGUUAGUUUAAAUCUAAACCUUUUUCAACCAAAGUUUGUGUUUUAUUUCUUAAGCUAACCUUGAAAUGAAACAGCACCAAUUCACUUUGAAUUGGUAUCAUUUGUAAUUUGAAAACCCUUCCCAGUGAACGAUCCUAGAGCCACUAUGCUAUAGUAGCUUUUUCUUUGCUACCCUAGUAUAUGGUGUAAUAGGUUAUAAAUUUUGUUGAUUACUCCCUCAAUCAAGGAGCACCAGCUGGACACAAAUCAGCUGAGACACCAAUUGGGCACGAAUCACCAUGAUAUCAUGCAUUUUGUUUGAUAGCUCACAUAUGGGCAACAUUUCAGAUUGGUUGGAGAUUACUAGAAGCAUGAUGGAUGAGGAGAUACAAGACAAUCUUACACUAGGGCAUACUUUUCUUAUUGAUGAUGGAUUUUGAGAUGAUGAUCUUACAAUAUAGCAUACUCCUCUUAUUAGCGAUAGAUUUUUGUGAUGAUGAUUUGCUAGGGCAGAGUAUUCUUAUGUUGGAUUAGGAGUUACGAGAUGGCUCUACAUUAGGACAUAGCCAUUUCACUCCUUCUAGAUUAUGAUGGAUCAAGAAUUGUGUGAGGACUUAUACUAAGCCAUAUAUGCUUCAAAGAGCACUUUUAUUAGAGAUGUAGUCACUUUACUUGAUACUAGGACAUACUCCUCCCAUUAAUGGAUUUUUGAGAUGGUAGUUUGCUUUCAAACAUAAUUGCUUUAGAGAUCUUGUAUGGUAGACAUAACCACUUUACUCCAUUCUCAUGGAGCACAUAGAUUAGGAGUUGUUGAGAUCAUGUUGAGAUAUUUUCAUUUUUAGUAUCAGAAGUUGAGAUUGAUCUUAAUCCGAUGAUGCAAGUUGAGACAUAACCUUCUCAUUGAUGACAAAGCUAAAUUUAUCUUGGAGUAAUAGCCAAUUUAGAUAGUUUAUACUAAGUUAUAGCCACUUCAUUCAUUCUUACAGAGCAUGUGGAUUAAUAGUCAUAGAUCAUGUUGAGAUAUUUUCGUUUUCAACACUGGGAGCAAAGUUUGAUAUUGAUAUGUUGAUGUACAUUGGGGCAUAACCCUCUUAGUGGUUAUUCAUUUGGAUAAAUUACCAUACAUUGGAGCAUAACUAUUCUAUUUUAUUCCCCACACUAAAGCAUAUCCAUCUUUUGGAGGGUGAUCAAAUUUAUUCAUUAGAGUGGAGCAUCUAAUUAGUGAUAUGAGGAUUAUUGGAUAGUUUCAUGUUGUCAUCAUUUCAUAUUGGGGCAUAUCCACCUUGUUGGAUAUUUUGGUGUUCAGAUAUGGUCACUUAAUAGAGAAUUUUGAAGGAUCAUGGAGCUGAUGACACUUUGGGUUCUUAGCAUACUCGGUUUGAUCUUGUAUACCCACCUACUUGUCAUUUCAUACCCAAUCAUUGCACUCUUGAUACCUUCACACUUAUAUCUAUCCUACCAGAGCUUGACUGGUAUUUUUUUUUUUCAUCCUACACAAUUUACCAUGAUGCAUAACCUUAUACUUUUCUCUUGAUUAGAGAAACAUAUAAACUAGUCCUUGAUUUUCCAAGAAGUUUCUUAAAUCUGCAUCAAUAGAGAGUUCUUAUUUAGGUCGAUGAGGUUUACUAAGAAGACUUGUUUAUGUAUUUAAUAAGACUAGUUAAGUUUUGAUGUAAUUGUAGUAUUAUGUUUUUAUUGAGUUAAUAAAUGUGAAACACAUUAAAAUUAAACCAAUGAAAAUCUCCUUUACUUCUGGCAAAUUAGAAAUAUAAACAGUGAAGAUUUACGAAGCUUCCAACUUAUCUUCCUUCUUAUAAGUUAGCAUAAAAAAGUUCUUUAGAAGCAAUCCAACAAGAAAAAAAAAAUGACCUAGUCAUUGGAAAUCUUAGUCCAUAGUUUAGAAUUUAUGUUUUUGGAGACAAAGUGUUCAUUCAUCUGGAAAACAUUUUUUUCCAAAUAAAUUAUGAAAAUACAUAUUUUUUAAAUUUUACAAUCUAUCUUGUGAAUAAUUCCUAACUUAUUUUCUUUCAAUUUAGAUGUGAUAUGGAUACACUUCCUUUUCCUUAUUUUUAAAAAAAGUAGAAAAUAAUAAUAACUUUUAUAUAAAAUAAAAGAAAAUUUGACACAUACAAUAAAAAGAUAAAAAUAUUUUUGAAAUGUUGUAAAGAAAAUUAAAGUUUAAUUUAAUUUUUUUACUUCUUCAAAUUUAAAAAUUUUUAAAGUAAUUUUUAAGAGCAUAAAAUAAGUUUGUACUUUUUGUAUAAGAGAUCUUAUAUUUUAUGUCAAAGUUAAUCCUUUUGGUUUUUACAAAAUAGAAAAUAGAAAGUAUAUUCAAAAUAGCUUAGUGGUUCUUUUUUUUUUUUUUUUUUUUCAUGCUUAAACUUCUUUUAUGGUUGACCUUCAAUAAAUUUUAACCAUUUCUAGUUUUGAUGUAAUUAAAGGUAGUAUUAUGUUUUUAUGGAGUUAAUAAAUGUAAAACAUAUUAAAAUAAAGUUAAUGAAAAUCUCCUUUACUUUUAGUAAAUUAGAAAUGAAAACAUGGAAGAUUUGUGAAGCUUCCACCUUAUUUCCCUUCAUAUAAGUUGGCAUGAAAAGUUCUUCUGACGCAAUCCAACAAUAAAAAUGACCCAGACCCCACAAAAUCAUAGUCUAUAGUUUAGAAUUCAUGUUUUUCUAGAGAAAGUGUUAAUUCAUCUAGAAACAUUUUUACCUUAAAAAGACAUUUAUGAAUUUUAUGGUCUAUCUCGUGAAUAAUUUUCUAAUUUUUUUUUUCUUUCAAUUUAGAUAUCAUCUUAAAACAUUAUUUUUUUAAAAGACAGAAAAUAAUAGUAACUUUUAUGUAAAAUACAAGAACUUUCGAGACAAUUUUUAAAAAUUGUUCAAAUUUUAAGAAUUUUUAAAGUGAAUUUUAAGAGCAUUACAUAAGAUUGUACUUUUUGUAUAAGAGAUCUUACAUUUUAUGUGGAAUUUAUUACUACUUUUGGUUUUUAAAAAAUAGAAAAUGGAAAGUAUAUCUAAAAGAUAACUUAGUGGUUUGUUUUUUCAUGCUUAAAUUUUUUUUAUGCUUGGUCUUCAAUAAGUUUAUAUCAUUUGUAGAUUUAAUAUGAAUGUUAUUUGAAUGAUUGUUAUGAGUAAACAUUUGUUAAUUCACUACAACGAAAAUGUCAAAAGAUUACGCUUUUUAAGCAUUAAGAUAGUAUAAGAUGACACUUUCCAGAAGCGUCAUAUCUUAGACUGUCAUCUUAUGAAUUUCCAAUUGUUGAUGCUUUUCACAAGCGUCAUCUUCUUUGGCAGUUAACCAUGACGCUCAGAGAAAGCAUCAUUAUUCUAAACCUUGGAGCUCUACAAGUGUCAUUAGAGGUCUACAAUUUCAUUCAUCUCAAUAUUGACACUCAAUAAAGCGUCAUUGUAUGGGUAGGAGCAACAUCGACACUCAUGAUAAGUGCCAUCUUAUAGCAAUUUUCAACCUUGAUGCUUGAAAAAAGUAUCAUAUUCUGAAAUCCUCAACCUUGAUGCUUAUGAAAAGUGUCAUUGUAUAGGUUAAAGUGACGUUGACACUCAUAAUAAGUGUCAUCUUCUACCUUUAAUAUCCUACGAGAACAAAGCAUGAUGCUUUAUAAAAGUUCCAUCUUAUCUCAUUCGAAAUUUUAAUAACCCAUAAAAGUCUUAAUUAUGCCUUGUUUUAUAACUUUCCACAAACAAUGAAUCAGUAAUAAAAAGUUAAUUUAAGAAAGUCCUAGGAGAAAAAGUACUAAUUAUGGUGUUACUCUUUCUCUAUUAAAAUUUACCAAUAAAUGUUACACAUAAUCAAUUAUGAAUUUGCUUAGCAUUAAAUUUAGUUGAAAUUGUUUAAAAAACAAAAAAAUUUACAACUUCUUUUUCAACUUUGAGUUGUUCAUAGUCUUUUGCUGCAUCUUGUUCUACAUCAUCUUUCUUCAAAAUGCAUAAGGAUGGUUACAACUCAUGUUCUAGAUGCUCAACUUGCAGAAAUAAUUGAGAGGUUACAUAUAACUAAUAUUGACAAAUAGUAAAGAAAAAUACAACUCUAUAAAUGAAAUGUGUAUAUACCAAUUUUUUAAAUUUCCAAGAUAUAUUUCUUCCACUAUAAUAAAUUUCAACAUGUUGGAAGAACUGAACAAACCUCAAUAAUUUUGUUACACCAAAUUUCUAAAUAUUCCUUGAACUCUUGUUAUAUGUUUAAGAAAGCAAACAAUAAACCACUUUCGAGUAUUUUCCCAAAUCCAAUAUUUGAUUUUGUCUAACUUAGGUUGAAUGCAAUAAUUAAUUUUGUCCAACUCAUAUUAUCAUUCUUAUUGUAAUCAUGAGUGAAUGUUGACUUGCACAUGGUUAUCAAAAUAUGUUAUAAGUAUAUCUAACUUUGGUUGAAUGCAAUAAUUAAUUUUGUCAAACUCAUGUUAUCAUUCAUGCUGUAACCAUAAGUGGAUGGUGACUUGCACCUAUGGUUAUCAAAAUAUGCUAUCAACAUAUUGGGGCUUGCCAUAAGUCCAAGUAGGUCUUAAAUUUAAAGCAUGUAUACACUUAAUCAUUUACUUGGACUAACUCAUUAUGGAUAGAACUGAACCAAUUAAAUAACUAGGUUAAGUGGUUUCCCUUCACCAAUGAAGAUGGUAUAUCCAUGUGGUUGCUUUCUUCCCUAAUUAGGUAUUAUUAUGAACUACAAUUAACUAAAGGACCCAUUGUUCAUCAACUAUCUCCAUUAUAUAAUGGUCUUUUAGCCCUUUCACCCAAUUGACCUUUACAAGUCAUCAAUUAUAUGUAUAAACAAAUGUCUUUGACUCUUAAAAAACUUAAAAAAAUAAAAGUUUUGAUCUUAGUGACUAUUUUGGUAUGAUUUAUAUCUUAUAUAUGAAACUUCAACCAUUAACAUCUUUUCAUCCUUCUUAUAGGUCCUACAAGACACUGGAUGUUUUGCAAAAGAAGCAAGAAAGGAGUUAAAAGGAAAAAAACUUUAAGUUUGAAAAUUUCUGAAAUUAUAAGUUAAAAUAUCUAUGUAAAAUUAUGAAAUUGUAUGUCAAAUUAUCUAUGUUCUUCCUAUUGUUAAUAUCUAUUAUACAUAAAAUUUACAAUUUAUUGUUCUAUCUAUUUAACCAAUUAAUGUAGUCGGUAUGAAGUAUAAUGUCAAGAGAAGAGCUAGCUUGCAAGGGCACAUUAACAUCUAAUCAUGUGAGGAUAUCUAUUAUCCUAAGUAUACAUCCUAAAUAUGAAACUUACAUGAAAUGAUUUUCUAAACAUGAAAUUUAUUCAUAAAACUAACAAUAAUCUAAACAUCUUACCUCAAUAUUCUUUUAUGAAAAUUUUCAACUAUUGCAGGGUGUCCUUCAUGUCAUUGAUCAUGUUCAGGUCUGAAUAAGCAAGAGUAGUAGUGACGUACUUAAGAGAAUGACCUAUGUAUUUCAGUACAACCUAAAGAAUAUACAAUAAACAAUUUAGCAACAAAUUAGAUUCUUAAAAGUUUUAACACAUUAAAUUCAAUAAGCUUAUUAAUUUCAAAGAAGGUUGGUAGCCAAAGGUAGAAUAAUUGAGAUAAACAAACUAGGAAUGAAGAUACAUUAAUUUAAGCUAAAACAUUAUAAUUAAAUUGAUCUUUUAACUUGACAUGUUAUGAAUCCAUGAAAAAUAAUACAUUGGCAAUACUUUAUUGAUUAAAAGAGUAAAAUAACACCAAAGAUAGCAAAAACUAAAUGAUAGGGACAAAAGGUUUAUUUUUGUAAUAGUGAUCGGCAGACUAAAAGUAAAAAGGCCUUGGUGGAGGAAAAAACUAUUAUGUCAGAAUGACUAGUUUAUUUCCUUACAAUUGUAUUUAGAUUAAGGAGCUAGUAUUCACAUUGAUACCCUAUUUUAGACAAAGAGGCUUUAGAGGCUUAUUUAAGGAGAAGGAGUUGUUAUUUAUUUAUUUUUCCCAUAGGCUUAUUUGUAAGAAGUCUUAAUCUAACUUCCUAUUUUUUUAAUGUCAAAGAAAAUAUAAGUACAAGAUAUUUUAAACUUUAAGCCCAUUAGUUUAGGAGGAGGCCUCUACAAAUUUAGAUUGAAAAAGUUAUAAAGCAAGUGAUCUUAAGGAUUCAAAAUGGUUUUUUUUAGGAUAGACAUAUUCCUAAUGCAUGCACAUGUAAUGAGACUAAAGACUUUACAAAAAAGAGUUUGAAAAUGCAUGAAUUUUUGUACCAUUACAACACUAGGACUUCUACAAAUCCAACUAAUAAGGAUGUGUGCAGGAAAUACACAAAGGUUGUGACACCUACUAUGUCUACUAAGCUUCACCUCUCAAUUUGCCAAUUACACAUCCAUCAAAAUAAAGAAACCAUUGCAUGAUCCAUAUUGAAAACACUACCAACUAGGAGUACCAAGAUAUACAUUAACAAAUCAUGACUAAGAAUAAAUUAUAAAAUUAGCAUUAACAAAAUAUUCACUAGAAUUUUAGAAUAAUAUGAAGUUAUAUUAGACCAUAGGUCAUACAAGGUACCUUCAAGCAUGAGUAAUGAUUAAUUGAGUCAUUAGCAUAACCCAAUAUGAGCGAACUUCAUUAAUCUCCAUUUCACUAUAUGUUUUUCUCCCAUUAAACUAAAAUGGAAUAACAUACACCUUCACUAAGUUGAAUUGACAAAUCAAAUGCUAUAGUAAAAUGACCAACCUAUGAAUUGCAUUGUGUACAAACCUUUGAUGUUAGUUGGUUUGGAUUAGAAAUGAUUUCUUUCAUGUAUCUCAUCACUUAAUACCCACAUUCCACACUACCUGGUGGUCUUGGACACUAUGGCAAAAGUAUAAACAAUUACAACAAACGUAGAAUGAUAUAUGUUCUUACUUCUUUAGUAUCUAACUAAUCAUCAUAUUAAUAACCAUCCAUUUCCUAAUUUUGUGUAAUGAAUAAAGUGGUCAAACAAUAUAUUUUAAUCUAAAGGAAUAAGUACUUACAACCACUUUCACCUAAGUUGGCUCUCUCUUUGAUGUUUUUUAUUUUUCUGGUGGGUUGAUUAUAAUUGCCCUAUAAAAAAGAAAUGAUGUUAUAUAGAUAAUAUUCAUUGUACUAAAAUACGAGAAGUACACACUUACAUGUUAACUAUCUCCCUAAGAUCAUCACAUGGUUGACAAGCCAUUGGAUCAAUGUAAUAUGCGAUCAUUCUCUUCAUCUCUAGUGCCACUAAGACCCAGUGGAAACUAAAGAAAAAAGAAAAAGAAAUUAAUUUUGUAAUAUAAUAUCCACAAAUUAAUACAUCACAAACUAACUUAUAUACAUCAUAUCAAUAUUUGGGAUAAAAGGUUACUCUGGAUUGUAUGGAAUAAGCAUAUAUUCAGCAUGUUUUGCAUUCCUUAGUCGAUCUGCAAUGACCCUUGACCUGUUUUCUUUGCUUCCCUCUCCCAUUCCAGCUUUUGAAACCAAUGCUGGAUUGAUAAAACAUAUCAUUCAACCUGCUUUCCAUCAAUCAACUUUCUAUACAGGUGCCUAAUUAAAUCCCACAUAAUAAGUUAUCAACAAUCAUUAUAGAUCAUUAGCAAAUAACCUUUUACCUCAAAAAAGUGUGAAGAGUAAUUAAAAAAUAUAUAUAAAAUCCCUCACCAGAUGUAAUAUAAGAUACAAUUGGAUGACCCUUCUUUUGAUGAUAUAAUCAUGUCCAUAUCUUCUUUCAUUAGGAAGCUCUUGAAACUCUCUCCAAAAACAUCAUCUGGGAAGUCAAUAGGUUGUACUCUUGAGGUGCUCAGCAUGAGGCCAACCAAUGCCUCAAAAUUCUUGAUAUCUUGUGUUUUUUCACCCUUAGAUUUGACUUCAACUUCAUUUUCUUUUUGUUUCUUUCCUUUCUUAGAUGUCUAUACAAUUAAGAAUCAUGAUAUAAAUCAAAUCAACUAGUUGAAUAUGUAAAAAAAAUGGAAAAAAAAAUUUAAGGUUAUCAUAAAGCUUGGUAAUUAAAUUUACUUACCGAGAUAGGAGUAUGAAUGAUGACUAAAUAAGCUAGCCACAAAACUUGGUAACCAAUUGUAGCCUCAACAGUAGUAGUUUGUCCAAGAAUAGGAAUGGGAAGGGGUGCACUUGAAUCAUAAGGAGCAUCAACAACUACUAGAUACACAUUCAAGUAUAAUUGUGCCACCGACCACUAUAUUUUCCUUGGUCUCCAUGGCCAACUCACAUUUUCUAACCUAAAAAAUGAAGUUAUAUUAUUAGAUAUGAGCCAACAUUUCUCUAUUUCAUUCUUUCAAGUCUAUAUCUUCAAAUUAACAUUGGUGAAUAUUGAAAACCAUCUAUAAGGUACAAGCAAAAAUUUGAGAUAUGAAGUAAUUUUAGAUAACAUUGGAAAGAUUGAAUUGAGGCAUGCAAAUUAUUAUGUGGUUAUAUAAAGAAUAGCUAUUCUUAAAAUAAAAGAGGUUAGUAAUGCAUAGUAAAUCAAAAUAAUUACUGAAUGUUAAAAAGUUUCAUAAUAUAUGAAAUAAAAAUCCCAUAUGAUCUAGUUAUGUAGACAACAAAAUUAUAUUAUCUAUUUUGUGAAUGCACAAAAUGCUAAAAUAUUUUUUUGACAACUUUUUUAUUUUCUUAUAUUGCACUACAUAAAAGAAGACCAUAUAUGUGCCACCAAAAUUGAAUUAAAUUCAAAAAACAAAAUUUACAUAAAUUAUAUCUCCUAUUACAACAAACAUUAUCAUCAAAUUAGCUUAACUAGAUAAAAUACCUUGUUCUUUGGUUCUAUUGUCAUUGGUGGGGCUGCAUCUUCACCUCUACGGAUUGGCUUCUCCACUACUUCUGGUAGGAGAAAUUGUUUUUGUUUCAUGUUCAAACUACUAACAUCAGAUUGGGGAGUGACUACUCCCACUUGAGACAAUUUUGCUAGCACUUCUACCUAAAAGUUUCUUUGUUCUUCUUUAGAUGCUACUAUAAAAUCCUUGAUAGCACGAUCUACAACACUAUUAAAAUAUUGAUGAGGUGUGUGGUGCUUCCCUUUGGCCCUAACUUGACCACUAUACUCAGGAGUACCCAAGGCUUCUACAAAUAUAUCAUUACUCCCACUGACACUCCUACCAUUCUCUUGAGACUCUUUCAAUAGCUUAUCCUUAAAAAAAUGUUAAUUAUGAAGUCCAAUUACAAAUUUGUUAUCAUAAAUUAGCUAUUAUAAAUAAAUGAAAUUAAGGUUGAAAAUAUCCACCUACUAUUUUCUCAAUCACUGGUAUGGCCACUUCAUUAAAGGUGCCAUCCUUUUUUUCUCUUGUUUUCUACCAUAAUAUGCUUUGAUCAGUAGUUUCAAUUGACCCACUUGUAACCAUCUUUUAAAAGGAGACAAUGUAUAAUGUAAUAAGCAUAUAAUACUAUUAUGUAUUAUGUAUAAAAUAAAUCAAAAAACUAUAAAUUAGUACAAACUUACCAUCUCUUCCUCAAGACCAACAUAUCAUUUCCUAGUUAGAUGGUGAUUAUAAAUGUGUUUCUUUCUUCUUUCUUUUUGAACUUCUCGAUAUUCCUAUAAAUAAAAAAUAUAUAAUUAAUGAAUGUGAAUACAAGAUAUGUAAAGACUUGUAAUUAUACCUUAAAGCAAUCAGACGAUUGAUCUUUAACAAACAUUAUCCAAUCUUCAUCCUUAAUAAAAAUAUAUUAAAUUGGCGGUUUUUUAAGGAGCUCCAAUUGGUCUUUGAAAUGAAGAAUGUACUUCACUGUUAGCAUGUUCUUAAGUGAUCGAAAACAUUUUCCAAUUGUUAGCAUACAAUUCCUCCUACUUUUGUGAUUUAAUGAAAAAACACCUUACACAUUAAUAGUAUACGUGUUAGUAACUUCAUGUGGUUAGGAAUGAUUGAUGUUUUGCAUAAAGGUGAUGCAGGUAAGAAUGUGUUACCUCAAUGUUGUCCUAUAACUUAUCCUUCAACUAUUUAGGUACAAUGUGCCAAGUUUGAUAUCUUAUUGGCACCAUAGUGCAUGCUAAUACACCUAAAUAGCUUGUUAGAUGAACUAUCGAUUUUCCUAUGAAAAUGCCAUCGAGAUUGUACUUAACCUGCAAUUUGAUCCCUUUGCUUCUGUUCUUGGUAAUCAUGAACUUUCGUGUCAUUCCUCUAUACUUCCUUUUUGUGGUUUUUCUCAUUUAUCUGGAUCCAUUUUUGUAACAAAAAAAAAAAAAAAAACUAACAAAGAUUAGUUAACAUUAUAUUAGAUAUAACCUUGUUAGAGAAGAGUUGUAAAAAGAAAAUUUUAGACAAAACAAUCCCUCAUCAUUGCAUAAUGAAAUGCCACCAAUGAAAUGACCUAAUCUAUUCUCAGUUUCUUAUUCACUAGUGCCAUAAAAGUGAGACAAAGACAAUCUUUAAUUAACUUAAUUUAGUUGUGUGCUUCAGUUAUUUAUACUUUUUGUUGUUUCAAAUAUUUAUUUUUUUUAGUGAAUUGUAUGUAUUCAGAUCAUAAAUUUCAUAAACCUUUUUUUGGAAUGGUUCAUCACAUAAAAAAGUUGACAUUUCAGUUUAGCUAUUUUUUCUCCCUUUUUCUUGCUCAUUUGAUUUAUUUUAAUUUUAAUUUGUUGUAUUUUAUGAACUUGUAUAUUCUACUAUGUGUUUCUCUUAUUAUUUUUGCUAAUCCAUUGUCAUUUCUUUUUCAUAUUUAACUUACUGAAUUGUUAACUUGUUCAUAUGAAAACUAAAAAUUGCAUAUAACUGAAUGAUUACAUUUUAUUUUUUACAAACAAGAAUUUUACAAGAAUCAUACCUGAUAUUUGCUUUAGUACAUCGAAUUUUAAUGACAAGAAAUGUCAAAUGUAGAAGAAAAAAUAAUAAUACUAAUAAUAAUAAUAAUAAUAAUAACAUCAAAAUGGCAUCAACUUAGGCAAUCAACUUGAUGUUCUUUGGAAACAAAAAGAAUAAAAAUUACCUAUUUUGUGGGAUCUGCAACCCUCUCGACAUCCUUUAUUUGUACAUCAUUAUUAUAAGUUUACAAUUCAGCUACAUAGAGGAUUUGUUCUCAAUCCAAAUCCCCUCACAGUCACCUCUUAUGAAUAUUGCAUUUGAGUUAGCCAUUGCAUCAAAUGCUUCAACUUCUAGCAAUAUCCUUAUAAAGGGAUGGUAUUCAAAAGAAUUGUCCACAAGGUCAUCUCCUCCUUCCUUAUCUAAGAAAUCUUUUUGAGGAGUUGACAAAACAACUGACCAUCUUGGAUCAAGUUGGUCUUACACAUAAAAUACUUGCUUGGCUUGAGAUGCCAAAAUGAAAGGAUCUAAUUUAUGAGCAAUUUUGUUAAAGUUAACUAAUGUAAAGCCAAGAUCAUCAACUUUUAUGCCAUUCUUAUUAUCAACCCAAUCACACUUGAAAACUGGUAUCCUAAACAUGGUAUAAUCAAGGUCCCAAAUCUUGUUAAUAAUCCCGUAGAAACAAAGCUCGCCAAACACUAGCUUUUGAUCAUUGGCACUUGGAAUUUGUAUUGUUGAAUCUACAAUACUAACUACGCUAUUUUUGGUAGCUCAUAAGUCAUCACGCUUCUUGCUAUGAUAUCAACAUCCAUUAAUGGCAUAUCUAUGAUAUUUCGAGACAUAGUGGCUAGUACCAUGAGUUAUCUAGUUAAGGGUUUCAGAUAUAGGUUCAUUGUUAUCAAUUGCAGCUUCAAUCUGUAAUUAUAAAUAAUAGUUACUAUGUAUGUUCAACAUUAGAAAAAAGAAUAGUUCAAAUUUUAGCACCAAUCUGAUACCUUUUUUCGAAACCAAUAAGUAAAUGUUUGCAUGUGUUCAUCCUGGAGCCACUUUUAUAUUUUAAAUUGACGAUGAUUUUUCAAUUUCAACCAUUCCAUGUGCUCUCUAUGCAAUUAUUUAUAAGAAGUUCAAAGUUAUUAUCCUAUAGUUAAUUUAAGUAUAACAGAUAAAUAUUUAGUGUUAGUAGUUCUUACUCGACAUAAGGUUGGACAAUAGUUGUGUUCUCUAAAACAUAAUGAUGUGCAUAGAAUCAAAAAUUAGAAUCAACAAUCACAGCUUGACCUCUAGGUAUGGGUGCCCUAACUUUUUGGUUAAUGUUUACACUAACAGGAAUCCCAAUUGCAUCUACAUUUGAUAAUUACCUUGUACAAAAUUCAAUAGCUUCCUCCCUAAUAUAGCAUUCGACUAUGCAACCUUCAGGUUGGUUACGAUUUCGUACAUACCCUUUAAAAAAUUUCAUGAAUCUUUCAAAGGGGUACAUCCACCUUAAGUAAACUGGUCCACAAAGUUUGACCUCUCUUACAAAAUGCAUAGUAAGAUGAAACAUGAUAUUAAAGAAGGAAGGUGGGAAUUACUUCUCAAGUAAGCAUAAUGUCACCACUACAUCAGCUUACAACUUAUCCAAUGCAGGCACAUCAACCACUUUGCUACAAAGAGCAUUGAAAAAAAAAAACUCAAUCUAUAAAUAGCAUGUCUUACAUGCUUUGGCAAAACUGAUCGUAAUGACACUGGCAAUAACUGUUGCAUUAAUGCAUGAUAGUCAUGGGAUUUAAGACCAUAAAGCUUCAAGUCUUCCAUUGACACAAGGUUUCUCAUGUUAGAGCAAUAACCUUCAAGAACCUUUAAUUGUGAUAAAGCUUGGCAAAAAAAGCUUCUUCUCCACUUAAGAUAGUGUGUAACAUGUAGGUGGGAGAUAAGUUUGAUUUGAUUCAAACCUUGGCCCUAAUUCACACCUUAAGCCCAUCUCCAUAAGGUUUAAACUAGAAUUAAGUCCAUCAUUUGUCUUACUUAGAAUGUUAAGUGAGGUACCGAUGAUGCUUUCACAAUCAUUUUUCUCUAUGUGCAUUACAUCCAAGUUAUGACGAACAUGUAGGUAUUUUCAAUACUCAAGAUCAAAGAAUAUGAACUUUCUCUUCUAACAAUUUCUAGUUUUGACAUUCAACUUAUCUCGAGUGAAAAUAUUUUUUUCCCAUGAAUUAAAAAUGACAUCAAUUUUCCUUAGAAUUUCUUCUCCACUCAAUGGUUGUGGAGGUGAUCGAAACUCUUGUUCCUUAUUAAAUGCCUUUUUCUGUUUCCUAAAAGGAUAAUUACAAGGAAGAAAUCGUCUAUGACAUGUAUGAGUUCUUUUUCCCAUGCUUCAAUCUAUGAGAGUAUGUAUCUUCCCCACAUAUGGGGCAUGCAAAAUAUCUUUUAACUAUACAACCAGAUAAGUUUUCAUACGCAGGAAAAUCAUUGAUUGUCCAUAAUAGAACAACUCUUAAUGUAAAGAGCUCUUGUUGACAUGCAUCAUAAGAUUCAACCCACACCUCCCACAACAUUUUUAGGUCAUCCAAUAAUGGUGCUAAAUAAACAUUAAUGUCAUUUCUAGGUUGUCGUGGAACCGAUAUUAACAAAGACAUCAUCAUAAACUUCCUUUUCAUGCAUAACCAAGGCGGAAGGUUAUAAAUGACCAUUAUAAUAGGCCAACAACUGUGUCUACUACUCAUUGAAUUGUGAGGAUUUAUACCAUCUACUAAAAUGGUAAGUUUAAGGUUUCUAGGUUCUAAAGAAAAAUCAAGCCAUCUAUGAUCAACUAGUUUCCAUGAUGGGGAAUUAGAUGGAUGACGCAAUUUGCCAUCAAAUUCUCUUUCUUGGGCAUGCCAUAUGAGGUCUUUUGCAACUUUUGGGGAUCGAAACAAUCUUCUAAAUCUUGGAAUUGGAGGAAAAUACCACAUUACUUUUGCAGGGACUCCAUUUCUCUUUUUAGUUUUUGUUCUAUCUAACUUUCAUCAUGAAGUUCCACAAGUUGGACAUGAAAAUGCAUCCUUUAAAUCAUUCCUAUACAAUAUGCAAUCAUUUGGACAACCAUGCAUUUUCUCAAAUUCCAUUCUCAAUGCAUUCAAUGUCUUUUUUGCUUCAUACAUAGACAAGGGCAACUCAUUGUUUAGAGGUAACAUAUCUCCAACAAUUCCCAAAAGCUCUAAAAACUUUUAUUAGACCAUCCAUAUCGUGCUUUCAGGUUGUAUAAUUUCACUAAUGCAAACAACUUUGUAAAGUUUCUACAACUAGGAUAUAAAGGUUUUUGGGCAUCUUCAAGUAAUGUUUCAUAAAAUUCUGGGUCAUUCUUACAAUCAUCAUGUGCAGCUUGAACCAUUUCUACUAUACUAUCCACAUCAGUAAAUUGAACCUUAUGAUGACAUUAUACCCUACUAGUUGGUGGUCCACUUGGAGUAGCAUCUCCAUACCAAUACCAUGUAUGGUAACUCUGAUCAAUUCCAUAGAAAAAUAAAUGCUCUCUAAUUUUUGGAGAAGUAUGAAAUAUCAUAUUACCACAUUGAAGGCAAGGGCAUUAAAUGGAGUUUUUAUAUGCGGAAUGUUUUAAUGUGAAUGCAAUAAAACUCUCUACCCCAUCCGCAUAAUCCUUUGAUCUCCUAUCCUUUGACAUCCAAGAACAAUCCAUUUGAUGUACAAGAGAGAAACAAAGCUCCUAGAUACCACCAACCACUAAAGUUAUUAAUAACUAUCCUAUUAAUAGCCUCAAAAUAUAUGAUCCACCAAUUUCAAAUUUCAAACAUUUUCACAAAAACUUUACCAAUCCAAAAAACAACAAUGUGUAAGUCAUCUAGCUAUAAGCAAUAUGACAACAAAUAUAAUUAGUAUAUUGUGUUAUUAAAAAAUUAGAAUAAAAAAUGGAUAUGAAUUCCAUCAUUAUGUUUGGUUUGUGCAUGAAUAGGAAUAAAAAAUUAGAUGUAACUCUCAAUCUUGUGUUCUAUUCUCAAGUACACUAAGUUUGAAAUUUUAAAAAGUUUGAAAAAUACAAAAACACAUAAUUUCUGUAAUGCCACAAGAUGAGCAAGACAUAUGGAUGGAAAUAUCUUUUUAAUUAUGGGUUGAAAAUCAUUUCUUUUAAAUCUAAGUAUCUUCUUAACAUCAUCUUGAUUGUUGAAUAGUAUCAAACAUAGACAUAUGAAAGAGUAAUAGUUGAGAUAAUACCAAUACAUAAAUAUUACUAUGGAAAACAACAAAAGUCUCUAAAUGUUUCAAUUAAUAGGAAAAAAUGGGCUUACUCCAUCAAAAUUUGAUAGAGUACUUAAAAUUUCGCUUGUUCGAUGAAGCACAAAAUAAGGAAGGUAAGUAGAAGGAUGAUACUCAAUGAUAAAGCUUUCAACAUUUUCAUUGAAUUUGCUCCCAAUGAGAUAAUGAUACCAUGAACUAAAAAGGUGAACUAAUGUGGCUAAGCUUUUAAUGAGUAGAAGCAAGUGAUUUAUGCAUUCUAACAUUUACAACAUCCUUAAUUAGGUAGUGGUUUCUAUCCCAUAUAGGAAUACAUAAUCCCUAUGUAUCAAUUGCCAAUGUACUCAAUUUAAUUUUAAAGAAAUUUCGGCUGCAUUUUCCUAUAGUUCUCCAAGUGCACAAAAUGGACAAGGCACAAUAUGUAACCUUGUCCAAAUAUGCACCCAAAGAACACGAGAAAAGACUACCAAACUUUCUAAAAAUAGAUUUAAGAACAAACAAUUAACUUUAUAGAUAUUAUGUUUUCCUAUACUGUCCAAUUGGACAAUUCAAGCAUCAUUUGUAGAGAAAAGAUCUUUAUCACAUGCCAGACAAAUUUAAAAGUUGUCAACUUGAAAAUGGCCUAGAUAGACCGUUUUCACCAUUUGACAACUUAAAUGUCUUUAUUAUGUAAUAAGAGAAACUUUUUUCUUCCAAUGAUACUUGAAUGGGAACUCUAAGGUUUCAAGCAUGCAUGUUUGAUUAAAAUUAAAACAUUAUAAUGAUUUAUUAAAUUAUUAUAAUAUAGCAACAUAACUCUCAUUCUAUCAUGCUUAUCUUAAAUAUGUAACAUUUAAGAUGGAGCCAUAAGAACCUUUUCACAACUUAGACCAACAUCUUCUACAAAAAGGGUUCACACUAAAUAUAAUCAAAUUAAUAUGAUUUGACAAUUUUAAAUGCACAAUAAGUAAUUAUCUUACAAAACAAAUAAUAAGGCAACUAAAAGAAAACCACAGUGACAUGAUCAUGCAAAUGAAUUGCACCUACAAAACAAGUAAUAUGAAUGCCACUACUUGUAAUAGAAUAUAAGGCUCAGGAGGAGGUGGAUAAGCAUGCAAAGGAAAAGUCAUGACUGAUAACCCACUUGUUGGUUUUAGUACCCAUGACCAACAUGUUCGCUAUCCUAGGUACAUAAGGAACUGUUGCCCACUAAUCCAUGAGUACCAUGAACUAGCCUAGCAAUUUUUUGACAUCUAAUUCAUCAUGACAUGCAUGGACAAAGUCUAAACUUCACACUCAAUAAUCAGGAUGCAUUAACUUUCUCAUCCACUUGUACAAUUGUCUAAUAAAUUUCAGAAAUGCAUAUGAGCUACUCCCUGUAGUAUGUACAAAUUGAAAUACACAAAAUUAAUCUAUAAGUGAGUUGUAGGCAUACCUGAACUAUGCUUAUAGGCAAAAAUGAUAUAUCCGUGUAGACUCAAAGAACUUUAAAGAAUAGAGAUGCUAAGCAAGGGUACUCUAGGCAAGGAUACAUCUACAAUUAUUGAAAAAAAAAAAGAAUUGUAUCACCAAAGAAAGCUUCUAUUUGCAAAACAGAAGGAGGUAAGAUAGUAGGUUUUUCAAUGAAGCUAUGAAAGAACCUCUAAUCUACAUGCAGAAACUAUAUCAAAGAAAAAAUAUAUCCGACUAAUUAAAUUUCACAUAUAAAGUAUAGGACAUAUAAAAUUAUUAUCUUUCUUUUUAGGAAUAAAGGUAAAUUAGUCAUGUCUUUUUAUUUCCUUUGAUUGUAAACUUGUUUAAACUCUAUUUGUAUUACAUUUAUUUUUUAAGUAAUUAUAUAAAAGACCUUAGACUUUCUUUCUUCUCUUUGUUUGUGAUUCUUUUGAAGCUCAUAUUUGUGCACAACUUGGAACAAGCCCUUAUAUUUUUCUUGAAAGAACAUGCAUUCUACCAUUUUGGAAACAUCUUAGUUUAGCUAUAUGCUGAUGCUAUAAAUUUGAAAAAAAAAAAAUUUACUUGAAUUGCUUCUUUGAAUUGAUUCUCCAAAUAGACACAAGCAAAAUCCCCUUUUUAUUUAUUUUAAAAUUUGGAGCAUCUUUUAAUGUGAUUUAAUAUUACCUAAUGAACCCAAGAUAAAAUGCAGUGGCCAAACUCUAUUCAUCCUGUAGAUAAUAUUGGUGGAAUCAUGAAUUUAGCAGAUGGCUCGUAAAGCAGCAAAUUGGAACAGAAUGGUGCAAAGCCUGGUGAACGUGGGGGCUGAGCUGCCCUCCAUUUAGCUUGGGCAAUUUCCAACAUCGGUUUUAUGCUGUGUUUGAAAAAUCGGUUAUCGAUAAGUCGGGACGUGUGGCAAUGCGCACGUGGGCAACGGGGCAGUGUCAAAAUAAUCUUCCAUAAAUGGUCGGCAGUUUUUUUUAAAAAAAAAAAAUUAUCCUAUUUUUUAAUUUUUUAAUUAUUCAUUUUUAAUUUAUCAUUUUAUUUUAUACCAUCCUUUUAUUUUUAACUACUUUCCAUAUUUAUCUCAUUAAUUCUAUUUUUUAAACUUCAAUCUUAAUAUUUUUUUUAUGUUUAUCCUAUUAAUUUUAUUUCAUUUUAAAUGUUUUUGUUUUAAAAAAUUAAAAAUAUUUUUUACUCAAAAAUUAUAAAAUAUAAAAAAAAUAAUGAAAUUCUAAUAUUUUAUAAAUUAAAAUUAAUUUAAUAAGAUAAAUUAUUAAUAAUUUUAAUUAUUUAAAUAAAUUAGUGUUAAUAGAAAAAGUUAUCACUACAAGAUUUGUAAUAAAAUUUUAGAAAUUAAAUCUCAAACAAAAUAUGUUAUAUAAAUCAAUUUAAUUUUUUAUUUAAAUAUAAUAAAACAUGGUCUAAUAAAAAUAUUUUUAAAAUUUUAAAAUAAAUGAAUAUAAAUAUAUUAAAGAAAUUUAAGCUAAUUUUUUUUAAUAAAAAAAUUGAUAAACAUUAUCUUUAAUCAUACUUGUCAAUUACACUUACAAAAUAACUUUAAAAUAUGUAUUCCUUAUUUUAUAAAUUUUUUUUUAAGUUUUUAAGUGUUUUAAUGAAUUUUGAACUAUUUAUGUUUAAUCGAUAUUUUUGUCAAAAUAUUUUUUAUAUAUCCAUAAAAUUCAAGUCUGAUAUAUCGGUAUUUACCGAUAUUUCAAACCUUGGGUUGGUGAUGUUGCCGGACUAGUGUUAGUCCAUGCUUUGACCCAUUCAGCUUUAAUGAGUACUAAUAAUCUUUUCGUCACAAUUUUCCAAUUUAUAAGGUUAUAAUUGGCUAUUUAAAAAGAAGAAAAAAUUGGUAACCUGAUUGCUUGAGGCUAGUUUGUCAAUAUUUCUGAGUAUAUAUUCUAGAUACAUAAUAAAACAAUAAUAAUAAUAAUAAUAAUAAUAAUAAUAAUAAUUAUUAUUAUUAUUAUUAUUAUGGGGUAUAUUUAAUCCAAACUACUAAAAAUAUAUGAUAAAAUCUAAAUCAUUAAAUAAAUUAAUAAAUAAAGAAACCUAAGUAUAAAAGAAUAGAAAUGGGUACAAACAAUGAAAUUGAAGUACUAAAGCAUGAAACAAAUGUAUAAAACAAUAAGACGUUCAAAAUAAAGGGAUCCAUGCACAUGUGAUGCAAUUUGAUUAAUUGCAAUUUUGAUAUGUUGCACAAUUCAAUAGUGUAGUGAGAACCAAGAGUAUACAACAUGAAUGUUAAUAUUCUAAUAAAAAUUUAAGUUAUAUUUUUUUUGUUAAAAUAAAUAAUAAUUUUUCUAAAAAAAUACCGAUUAAUAAUAAUUUAUUUAAAAUGAAUUCUAAAAGAUGUACAUAACUUUUAAAAAAUAUAUAAAUAAUCUUUUUUUUUCAUUUAUUUAUUUAUUUUUAACUAAGGAACAUGUUUACUAUCUAAUUAUUUUGAGUAUUUUAUACCAAAUUUAUUGUUGAAAUUUUUUCUAUUAAAUGAGUUGCAAAUACAAAUUCUCUAUUCAAGAAGUUUAGGCACAAUGGGUUACAUUUUUGUACUCCUUGUCCAUGAAUGCAUUUAUGAAAUGAUUUUGAAGCAAAAUAAAUAUUUAUGGUCUAUUGAUAAGAAUUAAAGAACUUCUUGUUUAUGAUUCUCUCGUCUAUCCAUAUGAGACUUGUAAGCAAUGAUGAAAUUAUAGGCUUCUCAAAUCAGUAUGCAUAUGAUUGGAGAUGGUGUAUGAAAAUAAGGUCAUGAAACUUAUAACAAUAAGAUGAUUAGCUGCUUUGUAACUUAAAUAAAACCUUUUUUCUAUUAUAAAAACUGAAAAAUAAAAAAAUUAUAUAAAAAUUUGGUAAUUGAAUUACAUUUAAGAAACCUUAAAUGUUGUUUCAUAUAUUUAAAAUAUAGUACCUUAAUAAUUAAAAAUAAUAUAAAAAUUAAUAUACACUUUGUUUAAAAUCUAUUUGCUUAUAAAUCUAAGUUAUUAAGUAAUACCUCCUAUCUUGUCCUCCAAAUGAAUAAGACGUUACCUAACAACUCAAUUUUAUAAGGAAAUGGAUUUUAAAAUGCAAAUAAUUGAUUGGUAAUAUCUAAGAAAUUCAAUGCUUGACCUAAUACCAAAAUAAAAAUUGAAGAUAAUCAAUACUUAAAAUAAUAUAAAGAUGAAUACAAAUAUUAUUCAAAAACUACUUGUUUAUAAAUUUAAGUUAUUAGGUAAGACAUCCCAUCUCAUCCACCAAAUGAAUAGGCCAUUGCCUAACAACUUAAAUUUGUAAGAAAAUAGAUCAUAAAGUACAAACAAUUGGUCAAUGAUAUUUAAGAAAUUUAAUGUUAUCUCUCACCUAAGAUUAAUACAAAAAUUUAAGAUGAGGAAAUAGUUGUUUCAUAUUUAAAAUACAAUAUCUUAAUAAUUAAAAAUAGUAUGAAAUAAAUACUGACAUUAUUUAAAAUCCAUUUGCUUAUAAAUUUAAGUUGUUAGAUAAUACAUCCUAUUUUAUCCUCCAAAUAAAUAAGAUCUUACCUAACAACUCAAAUUUGUAAGUAAUUAGAUCUUAGAAUGCGAACAGUUGAUUGAUGAUAUCUAAGAAAUUCAAUACCUAACAACUCCAAUUUGUAAUUAAUUAGAUUUUAAAAUAUGAACAUUUGAUUGAUGAUAUCUAAGAAAUUCAAUUUUUUCUUUGAUCUAAAAUGAAUAUAAAAAUUUGGUAUGAGGAUUGUUUGCUCAGCUAUUGAAACUUAAUAAGAUCGGAAGGGACAAAACUUAUGGGGAUAUGUUUGCCAAUAGAGUGAGGAAAAUAAGGAAUGGGUAGCAUUUAGUACUUGAUUCAAACAGAAAAGGUUAAAUGGAAGUAUCAAGAAACAUUGGGUUUGGAAAUGAUCGUGCACUUUUUAAAAGUCAUAUAUAGGUAGAAUGAAGAGAAAAUUAGAACAAAUGAACUUUAAUUUUUUGGUAUUUUCGAUACUAAAAGGGUGUUUUGAUACGAAUGAACAAAUGAACAUUUUGCUGAGAGAAAUGCUUGGAAGGAGUGAGAAAACCUUCUCUCUCUCUCUAUAUAUAUAUAUAUAUAGUCUCUAAAAUUAAAAUUUAAAACAUACAUGCAUCAGAAUGCAGCAACUAAUACUACACUCUCAAUAUGCUAAUUAUUAACCUUACACAGGCAAGUUCUGUUACUUAAUAGAAAAAGAAGAGAGGACAACAUGCUCUGAAAAGAGUUCUGAAACGAAAUUCUGUUUCUUCUUUCAAACUUGAGUAAUAGGAGCUGCAGUUGGCUGUGGAGAUUGGGUAUCGGAUUUAUUCCCACAAAUCCAACGAAAAGCCUUUUUCACGGUCCAGAACAGUCCUUUGAAAGCUAGAUAUAAACAAUAAAAGAGGACAACGACGAAUAUUGCAACACCUUUGAGGAAUUUUGCAACAAAACAUUUGGCAGAUUCUGUGCAACAUCUCAGGACUGCUGAACGUAGAGGUGAAUAUGAGAGAAAAAAAAUGGGGACAGGAAGAAAUCCAACCACACUCCAAACAGCAUUUUUCCAAUUAUGUGUCAUCAUGAUCAGGAUGAUUGUUGCUCCAAACGCCACCGCCAUCAUUGAGACCGAGAGGAUCAUACAUAUAAUUCCCUGUGUCAGCUUCUUAAAAAGAUAUGUUUCGAAGUCUUGUAGUGGAAAUGAGGAUGUAAGGAUGGAGAGAAAUUUACCCACAGAUGUCAAAGCCAAAGUGAGGGAGAACACAUCAGCUAAUAUGAAAACCACAAAGAAGGGUUUAGAGUUAAGGAUUGGAAUACCGGUGUCUUGAUUAGGACCUCCUGGUACCGUGUAGGCUGCUGCAAAGGCAACAGUGGCUAUGAAAAUAGAAAGAAUGGUGCAAUUCUCAGUGGUGCGCAUUAGCCAUUCCUUGGCAUCUCGAUGGAGUCUCUCAUUCCUAGCAGCAAAUAAUUCUUCAGCAGUCUGGUUAUCUUUGUUGAGAGGCUUGGUCAAAUGCAUCUUACAGGCUGACUUCACUUUCUGCACCCACACAUACAAUCACAAGUAGCACCGUUAUUCUAAUGUAACACAUACAAGCUUUUUUGUUCUUUCUAAUCCCUCCAUUUAUCAUUAGACUAAAUUAAAAAUAUUAGGGAAAAAAAAAACCUUCAAAGUAAUUAUUCAUGAACUUUUAGGUUGUGUUUGAUUCUUAGACGAUUCUUAAAUAAUUUGAGGGAAGUGGAGAAAAAUAAAGGGAAAAAGUAGAAGAAAAUAAAAAAUGAAAGAAAAAAAAAAGAUUUAAACUCAAAAAUCAUUUUUAUAUAUUACUUUAAACUCAUUUUACUUAUUUUAACUCUUAUCUAAGGAUUAAAUAAUUUCAAAAUAUUCAAGUAUUUUUUUAUUAAUUUUAAUUAUAUUUUAUUUUUACAUUUUAUAUUUUAUAUAUUAAAACAAAAAUGAGAAAAUUAUUUUUUAAUACUUUUUUCUUUCUUUAGUAUUUUUCUAAUAACUUAAACUUUAUGAUCAAUUAGUGGAUUUUAACAUGGUAAGAGUAGCUUGGUCUUGAGUUUGAAUCUCAUUGGUGUAUUGUUUAUUCUCUCUAUGCAUUAAUUUAACCUUGUGUAAGCCUAAAAAAACCUAUAGUGAUAACUUAAAGGAUCAUUUUACAACAUUGAAAAGCUAAUUUUCAUAUCAUACACAAAAGUGAUGGUCAAAUAAAAAUUGAUAGGUGGUAAAAAUGAUCUUAUUUAUAUUUAUAUUUGUUAAAAAGGUUCUAUUUAUCUCUAUUUGUGAAACUAAUCUUGGUUUUGAUAAUAAUAAAACAAAAAUUAAAACUAAUAAUUUAUCCUAAGUAUGUUUAGGCAAAAAGAUUUUCAAAAAAGCAAUAAAAGAUGAAUUAAAUCAAAUAAAAAUUAAGAAGAAGGAAAAUACCUCAUAGAAAAGAAAAGUCAAGACCUAUUCCCUAGGAUCUCUUUGUAAAACUAUUGGUGUACUAGGUUCAUAGCACAUUACAUUUUUAUUGAAUACAUAAAAUCAUCCAAAUGUCUAAAUAGAUUUUAUUUUCUUGAAUCUAAUCCUUCCUAAUUAAGCUUUUUUUAAAGGUUUAUGAAGUUGAAUAAAAGUUUCCAGGAAUUCCAGGCCUCAAACUAGCUAGGGUCUUUUAUACACUUUACAAUAUAAUUGGUUGAAGUAGAAAGGAAUCGAUUAAGCCAGUUAUGCUCAAUUUAGUAACCCUAAUAACUAGUAGCCCAUUGAUUAGUCGAACCUAGACUAUGUUUAACAACUAGUUUGAGUUUCUAAAUCCUAUUUAAACCAUUCUUAAAUAUUAUUUAAGCCUUUUUAAAGUGUUUUCAAAGUGACUUGCUUUCAAACUUGUAUUUCAUCUUAGUACUAUAGGAAAACCCAUAUUUCUUUGUUCCCUAUACCUAGAUCAAUUUAAGUACAUGCAAAUCUUUCUUAGGCUUUAUCUAAAUCCUAUAUUUAGAGAAAACAAACAAUUUUAAACAAUAAUAAGAUUUAGAUAUCAAAAAAGAAAAAUUUAACUUAAUUUGAAUAUUUUCAAAUCAAAUCCAUGCAGUGAAGUAUUUGAAGAAGUUGUUGGAAGUCUCAUAGACCCACGGUCUUCCGCUCGAUGGCUCUUCCUUAAACCUUGGCACUCAACAGAUGGGAAGAAAAGAAGGGUAGAGGCUAUGACUCUUUCUCUGAAAAUGGAAGACAAGUCUUUAGAAACCCUCCCUAAAUGGGCAUUUAUAAGGUUCUCCAUAAGCUUAAGUGACUUGAGCCCAUUAGGGGCUUGGGUCACUCAAUCUAGACUAAAAAAGUUCUUAAUUGAUUAAUUAACCCAAUACAGCUAUCCAAUUAAUUAAUUAACUCAAUUUAGAGACCUUGUUCACUAACUCAUGUGCAAUCUUAGGUAAUUAUCAAAAUAUUUGUAUGCAUAAAAGUGAACCUAGAGCCAACCCAACUCUCAUAGAUAAUGUCAUCAAGGUAUAUGAGCUUGAGCGGGAACCAUUGGAACCAUUAGAGAAUUAAUUCCAUAAUAAUUCACUUUUGAAGUUGAUUCAACAUCCCACGAUAGAGAAUCAACUACACUUCAGUAUCCUAUGCAAAUAACAAUGAGACAAAGCUUGGAUUUGUGACCUACUGUCCAUUGCAUGUAGAGUACUCCCAAGAACUGGUGUCUAUAAUCUAAUAAGUUAAUGUUAUAUCACCUAUCAAGAUUACCCUUCCAAUCCUUGAAUUACAUAUCUCACUUACUAUAUGAUUAAUUGACAUACUCUACCUUCAAAAAGCAUAUGUCAAGUUUCCAUUAAUGGAAAUGCUAUGACCAAAGUCUUCUAGAUCACAUGCCCUUUAAAUCAACUAAAGGACACACUAUCUCAAACCCAUAAGAUAUUAUGGCUCCUCUAUUGAGAAUACCUAUUACCACCACUAGCCUCCAUCAACAAUGACUCCAUCCAUAAGAAUAUGUGACCACCUUAGGGUCUUACCCAUGGGUCAAAGACUCAAUACCUUCUCAAGGUUGAGAGUCUAUGCAAUAUAGUAGCUUGGUGAAUCAUGAUAAUUAAUUAAUAGUCUUACAUCAUGAUUCACCAUUAGUCUUAUCUAGUGUGCAUUGCAUACACUAGUACACUCACUAUGGGAAAACCAUCUUGAUAACCAAGACAAGUCAUUCCUCCAAUUAAGAGAUAGUGCACUACAAACUCACAUGGAUUUCCCAAAUCCAUGAACUGAUUGUGGACUACUUAUCACUCUACAAGGAACCCAUGACAUGGAUCUUUUGUGCAACUCCUAAUACACCCAAGUCAUAUACAAUGCAAGUGAUGUGAGCAUGUAUGCUCAAAUAACCAAUUGAUGCAUAUGGGAAACCAAAAAACAUAGAUAAAUAAAUUUAUAAAUGAAUCUCAAUUGGUUACUUUAUGUCAUGCUUUAUAGGACUCAAUCCUAACAAGUACACCAUUCAAUUCUAGUUUUUGUAUAUUCCAUUGUACCAAAAUUGUAAACUAGAAGUUUUAUUCUUAUCAAAUUUUUUCUUAUACAUCUUGUGAGUAGGCUUAAUUGUAUAAGGAAUCAAUUUAGUGAAAAAUUUAAGUGUGAGGUAUCACAUAGGGUUGUCCAAGUGUGGAAUGUCACUUAGGGAUCUUUAAGAGUGAGACAUCUCUUAAACAAUGAGGUAUUGCUUAAGAGAAAUUAUAAGUGCCUAUUAGAGACAUCUAUUAAAGAGUGAGGUAUCACUUAAGAAAAAUUAUUAGUGCCCAUUUGAGCUAGUAAAUCCAAGAGUAAAGUAUAAAGGCUUGGUUUGGAAUCAUAAAUAUAGUGGAACCUUAAGCUUGGAUUGAAACUUGAGGAGAAUGGAUAUAGGUUAAGUUGCUUCAAAUCACUAUAAAAUCUUAAGUUCACAUUUCUUUCUUCCCUUACUCUCUUUACUUUAUGUGCAAUUGCUACAAUUGUCACUUGCUUUGUAAGUUUAAAUUUAUAAAAAGUGAUCAUCACCUUAUUCAACCUCCUCUCCCCUCCCUCUCUCUUCUAGGGUGAUUACCUUAGGUUGGUAUAACUAGAAUCAUAACAAUUGAUAUCGAAGUAAGGCCUUUUGCUUAAGACUUAAUAAUCUGUAAGGAAUAACAAAUCAACCUAAUUCUCUACUCAUGGGAGGUUUUUUCAGUUUCAAAAUAGAUGUCAUAUUCCAACUAAAAUUGAAAACAAAAAUAGAUAUCAUAUUUUUUUUCAGAUAUGAUUAUAGGUAUUCAAAAACAAAAAUGACUUGGUUUUUAAAGUCUAUUGAUUUUUAUUUAUGGAAAGUCAUUCAAAAUAGAUAUAAUAUUCCAACUAAAAUUGAAAAUGAGGUAUCCAUUCCAAAGUCAAUCCAUGAGUGAAAUGAGUAAGAAAAGAAAAAUGCCCAAUUAAAUGCUAAAACUAUAUGUCAUAUGCUAGAAUAGAAUCCUUAUAAUCAUGGCAUGAUGUAAUUAGAUUCGGAAUUAAAUUCCUAAAUGAAUUUUUACAUUUCUAAAGAAUCAAAAACUCUUCUAAAGGAAUGGAUAUAGUGUCAAUCAUCAUGAAAAGGAUUAUCAAAUUGGCAUAAGAAGUUUAGAAAUGCUUCAAAUUGUUUUUUCUAUCUUAUCCUAUUGGUUUGAAUUUUUUUCAUAAAGAACAAUUGAAAAUGUAUUGAAUUCUGAUCAUACAAAGAAAAAUCAUUUUAAUGAAAUUGACAUAACAGCUAUCCCAAGGUUUGGAUUAAGAAGAAGUCAUCAUUUAUGAAAACCUUAGGUGAAAUAAAAUGAUCACAUGCUUGCAUGUUUUAAUGAUGUUAAAUUAUGCAUGUUAUGUGUUGCAUCUUUUAAAUUGCAUAUGUUGGGAAAUAACGAUAUGCUUUAAAUGAAAAAUAUUUCAUUCCCUUACCAUUUUUAGAAAAUCAUGCUUUAAAUUGGAAAAUGCUCUAAGAUUGAGAAAAUUUUUAUUUGAAAUAUAUUUUCAAAUGAAAAACAAAAAGAAGAGGAAAAAUGAUGUUAUUCUUAUUAUUUAUUUUUUGUGACAUCAUUUAUGAUUGAUAAAUAAAUUCUCUUAUUAUACUUAAUUGAGACUUUUUGUUGAUGACAAAAAGGAGGAAAAUUAGUAAUAAGUUAUUGUAGUACUAGGAUGAUAAUAUUUGUUUUAGCAAUCUUGAAUACUAAUGCUUCAUACUUCAAUUAUUAUAUACAUGCAUGCAUCCUAUUUGUUAUCUUACCAAUUGCUAAUUGCUCUUUGUGUUGUUAAUAUUUUGGUUAUAUUAUUUUUUAGCACCAAUAUAAUCCUUAAGAUUCUUAAAAUUGAACAUUUUCUAAAAAUCAAGGAGCAUAUAUUAAGGGGAAGUAUUUGAGCAACUUGAUUUUGUCAUCUCAAAAAGGAGGAGAUUGUGAAACUAAAGUUUGGUUAAUUUUUGUUUUGAUGAUAAUAAAACAAAGUUUGACACUAAUGAUUUAUUCUAAGUAUAUUUAGACAAAAAGAUACCUAAAGAAGCAAUAAAAGAAAUAUCAAGUCAAAGGAAAAUCAAGAAGAAGGAGAAAACUUCAAAGAGAAGGGGAAUAAAGACCUAUUAUCUAGGAUCUUUUUGUAAAGUUGUUAGUGCACUAGGUUCAUAUUACAUUACUUUUUUUAAUUGAAGCACAUAAAUUCAUCUAAGUAUCUAAAUCGAUUUUAUUCUCUUAUAAACUAAAUGAUUUCAUGUUCUUGAUUAAAACUAUGAAUCUAAUUCUUUCUAAACUUGUUUUAAAAGAUUUAUGAAGUUGAAUAUAAGUUGUUAGAGGUUCCAAGCCUCAAACUAGGUCUUUUAUGCACUUUACAAUGCAAUCGGUUGAGGCAAGGAAGAACAUGUUCAAUUGAGGUGCACUUGCACUUUGUUUCUUUUAGUAGCAUGUGUUCAACCAUUGACGUUAAGCCUCAACUAGUUGAGUCGAUUGGCCAACAAUAAACGCAAUGGCUAGUAGUUUGUUGAUCGGUUCAUCAACUUGUUAAACCUAAACUAUGCUUAAGAAGCAUGACUAGUUUAGGUUUCUAGCUCUUAUUUAAAGGCUCCAAGAUUCUUGUAUUAAUGGGAAAGAGUUCUAAAUGAUUCUUAAAUAUUAUUUAAGCUUGAAGGAGUGUUUUUAAAGUGUACUUAAAGAGUUCAUCUUAGUGCACCGUUCAACCUUAUUUUUCUUAUAUUCCAUUAUGCAAAAAUUGCAAACUAGAAGUUUUAUUCUUAUCGAAUAUUAUUUUAUAUACCUAGUGAGUUGGGCUCAAUUGUAGGGUAUCACUUGAGGGAAAAAUUUAAGUGUGAUGUAUCACAUAAGUUUUGCCAAGUGUGAGGUAUCUCUUGGAGAUCUUCAAGAGUAAGGCAUUUCUCAAGGAAAAAUAUAAGUGCCCACUGAAGCCAAUUAAUCCAAGUGUAAACCUUGAAGGCUUGAUUUGGAAGCUUUGGGAUAGUGGAGUCUCAAGCAUGGGAUUGAAUCUUAAAGAGAGUGGAUAUAUGCUAGGUUGCUUGAACCACUAUAAAAUCUUAAGUUUACAUUUCUCUUUUCCUUUACUUUCUUUACUUUAUAUGCAAUUGCAUUUCAUUAUACUUGUUAUAUUAUUACAUACAAUUGUCACUUGCUCUUUAUAUUUAAAUUUGUUAAAAGCAACCAUCACCCUAUUCACCCUCCCCUAAGCAAUUAUCUUAGGUUGGUAUAGUUAAAACCCUAACACUAUUUAAUUAAGACUUAUUUACUGCAUUUAGGUUUUAUUUCUUAGUACCUUGGUUCUAUUUGGAAUCUAAUGAUCUAAAUUUUAUUAAAUACAUUAAUGACUCAAAUUUGAAAUUUAGUACCUAAUAAGUACCUUAUCAUUUUCCUAACUUGGAUACAUAUUUUUCAUCCAUUACUUAAUAACUUAUUAUUAUUAGUAAUGAAGAUUAAUAAUCAAAUGACUUGCCACAAGUGUAUGCAUGAGCACAAUGUUUAUGGUUAUCAUUAAUGGGUAAGUAGAAGUGCACCUUAAACAACAGCAACUCUUUUUGUAGUUGGGAUGCAGGGCUUUGCAUCUUUUCACUAGCUUGACUUUUUCUUUUUAGGCCAACCAUAUGUAGUAAGGAGUUCCCUUUUUUAUCUAUAGCUGAUAAUAGACUUCUUGCAAGCAAUUCAGAUUUUGAUACUAUAUCAAAAAUUUCAAUAUGACGGUAAAGGAUUGCCACAUGUAGUAUGUUCAUUCCCUCCUUAUUAGUAUGCUCAAGUGCUUGAGGAUGACAAACCAGUAUUUCUUCAACAAUGUCUUGAAUGUUUGAUAUUGUUGCCAAAAAUAAUGGAGCUUCAUCGCUCUUCUUGUACUUGUAGUUGGUUGAACUUUCUUGGUAGUUUUGCCCUUCAUUUUCUUGGAAAUUUUGGCCUUUCUUUUCUUGGGAUAUUUUUUCUUCCUUUUCUAUAUCCAACUCCUUAGUCUCACCUAAGCCAACUUCUUGAGAAUUAACACUAGGAUGCCAUGAUGUAUCAUUCUUUACCAAAAGCUUGACGAGUCCUUGAAGUGAAUAGCAUCUGCUUUUAGUAAUAUGAGACAUGUUAGAUUACUUUUACAUAAUAUAUUGAAAUACAAAAAUGUAUCACAAGUAAAUAAUCUAGUAUUAUAUGAUGUUUAGGUAUGGAAUAUUAUUAUAUUGAAAAGGGUAAUUGAAAUCUAAUAGUACAUAUUAAUCCAACCACAAUAGCUUUCAAUAAUACAUUUGUAAUUUAAUCGAUUAUAAAGGGUGAGGAAUAUUUUACAAUUUCUUUUACAAGUAGUGCAUAGAUGGAUCUAUAAAGAAGAUUUUGUUUUCCUUUUCUCUUUUUUUAAUAUUUUCUAAAGGCCUUUUAAAGUUAUAAAAAAUUGGGUAAUUGCCAAAAAUGAGAAAUAGUCACAUGGAAAAAUAGUUUCAUUUCUUUUCUACAUUGCAUUUGUAUUGAAAUAUCAUUUUUUUCAUAUUUAAUGUAUUCAACAUUGCCUUGGUAUGAUAUCUAUUUGUUUAUACCUUAGAGUUGUUCUUUAAAAGUGUGAUCUUUGUAUGAAAAUAUUUAUUUUUUAAAUUUUCCUUCUUUCACUUUGAGUAAAAUAAAAAUGGGUUCUAGAAUAUGUGCAUGUGAAGGAUUCCCCUUUUGAUCACUCCUAAUCAUAUAAUUAUUUAUCUACCAAAAAUUUCACAUAGCGUGGCUGAAAGUUAUAUACCUAAAUUAUUUAAUAAUCUCCUAUACAACUUAUGUAACCUAUCAUAACUUAAUUUAUAGAACCAAAUGUUUUUGAACAAAAAAUUAUAUAUAUAUAUAACUUAUAAAAUUUUCAAUUACCAUUUUCAAUAAUCACUUAAUAAAUUUGAGUUUAAAUAUAGAUUUAUGAGGGAUUUUUUGUCAUCCAUUAGAAAUUGGCAUCAUAUGGUUUAGAAAACAUCAUUACUUUGUACUUGAUUAUUAUGAUUUACAUAUUUAACUCUCAUUCCUUUCUAUAACUAAGUUAUGUUUCUUCAUUUCUUUAUUCAAUGGUCUAGAUUUACCCAUACACAUUAAUGACUCAAAUUCAAAAUUCAAUAAAAUAAUAAAUCGGUAUCCUAAAUUUUUUUUCUAUGAAAUCUAAAAGAAAAAUUGAAGCCUUUUUGAGCCUAACAAUAGGCUUGGGUUGAGUAUUGAGUCUUUUGAGCAUUUCAGAUGUUGGUCAAUCAAGAAUUGUUGUAUGUUCAAGAAAGAAUUCAUGUAGUUUGAGAAGCAAUUUGCAAAACCUAUUAAUAACAUUUGUCUAGUUACAAAUUGUAGUGAAAAGCUACCCAUGUGUGUUUCUUUAAUUUGUUUUCCUUUAAGGAAUUAUGUAUGAUAAAAUUUAUCAAGUAUUUAGUUUGAAUAUAUUUAAGGAUAUAAAAGAAAUAAUGAUAUAUGUAUAAUUUUUUAAUUUAAAUUUUUUUAUAAUUUAUUUAUAAAUUUUAGUUUUUUGACAUUUAAUUAUUACACAAAAAAAUAUAAACAUAUUCAUUAAGAAGAUUAUUAUGAUAGUUUUUAUAUUUUGGAUGAUAAGGCAAUGAAAUUUACAAAUAAAAUUUGUUAGCCCAAGGGUUCUUCUAAUCCCAUUUUAAUGAUAACAAACCAUGGUUAAGUAGCUAAUUGGUUUAAAUUAUAAAGAAUUUCAGGUGUUAGUUUGGAAAUUCAUCAAAUGACUCAAUGGAUUCAAGAUCAAGACAUUUGGAAGACCUUUAAUCAUAAAAAACAUAUGUAAGACGAAUGCAUGGGUGCACUUAGGAUUUUUUAUGAAUUCCCCAAUUUUUUAUGGCAAAUGCCAAGGGAAUUUUGAUUUUUGGUAAAACAAAUUGACCAUUUUCUAAGUAUAUAUUUAUAUGAUGUUCUAUAUGAUGCAUAUGAUUGCAUGCUGUGAGAGCAUCACUCAAGUACUUCCCUAUGGUCGCUUCCUUUCCCAAGUAUUCAAGGAUGUUGGCAUUAACCUUAGUAGAGAGACGAACUUUGAGGAUCCCAGUACAUAUGAUACAUAUGAUGAUCAAUCCAUGGGGCGAAUGAAAUUUGAGAAGACUCCAGAUGGUUUUUGGAUCAGAAAAGCAAAGAGAGCAUUGCCAUGGGGACAACAAUAAACACACCUUAGAGUUGAGAAGGAGGCAAGGAUUAAGCAGAUGAAGAGUGGAGUAGAACCUCAAGGUAGACUAGACCCUCAGAGUGGCUACUAGCAGAGAGGGCUCGAGCUUGAUAUUCCCUUACUUCAAGCAAAGAUUCCUUCAUAGAUCAGGGGUGUUUAGUUUGAGUCCACUUUCUCUAAGUCGAUGAUGACUUAGCCAGCUUUUAUAGACGAACCAUCUACUCAACCAUUAUACACCGAGCCCACCUAUACUAAGAUACCACAGCCUCAGGUACCUUCUACUCCUAACCAUGCUCCUUGAAUGGAUUUAUUUGCUCGAAUUAGCUUUCUUGGUACUUGUAUGGUGGAGCUUGUAGUGGUCAGUGACACAUGAUUUAUUCUAUGGAGGAUAUGAUGGACAAGAAUCAGACUGUGUUCACUUCGCAGUUUGAGUAUCUCCAGUAGAGGAUUAAUUGCAUUAAGGAUUGCAUGGUGCGUUAGCAUGAGGACAUUAUGGCCUACUUGCGUUCCGUGUUUCUACCUCCACCUCCUCAACCUUGAUUCAUUUAACAACUCCCUUAUUCCUUUUUUAUGUUGCCAAAGGGGAAGAUAUUUUAGGAUCUAGGAGGCUAGAUAUAAGAGACUCAUACAUGCAUAUCAUCUUUGUUAGAUCAUACAUUGCUUAUCUUUAGUUAUGUUAAUUUGAUUGGACAUAUGAUGUACAGACUAAUACAUUUGACUUAUGAUGUAUGAUAUGCCUAUAUAUUUGAUGACUUGUAUUGUUUGUUGUUGCAAUACUCUCUAACAUGUCUUGAUCUUUGUUUUCAAUUCUUAAAUUUUGAUUGUUAAUUCAUGAUUAGUUUAAGGGGAAGAUUUUUUUCCUCCUAGAUAACCAAGGUUUUUCAUCAUAAAAAAGGGGGAGAUUGUUACCCUAAGGGUUCUCCUAAUCAUGUUUUAAUGAUAGUAAAUCAUGGUUAAGUGGCUAAUUGAUUUGAUUUAUAAAGAAUUUCAGGUAUUAGUUUGGAAAUUCAUCAAAGAAAUCAAUAGAGGCAAGAUCAAGACAUUUGGAAGACCUUUAAUCAUAAGAAACAUAUGUAAGAUGAAUGCAUAGGUGCACUUGGGAUUUUCAUAUCUUUUCAUACAUUUUUAAAAACUGAGUUUAUGCAUUAAAGUUACAUUUCCAUCAAAAACCCAAGUUUUAUCAAAUGAACCUUAGGCAAAUCAUUUAAAAAUUGGCAUAUUAAUUUACUUAAAGACCUUGCCAAGUGUUAGAAGAGAAAAAAAAAAAAAAAAGAUAGGUUUUGGGCCAAAAAAGAUGAACCGAUUGAGGUAGUGGCCAAUGGGCUCAAUCAACUAGGGUACCGAUCAACCAGUUACACUUUCCUAGUCGAUUUCCAAUCGAGAGAUGCAAAAAAUCUUCUCUCUCUUCCAAUAGCCUUUCUUUCUCGGUCGAGGGAUAUCUCUUCCCAAUCGAGGUCCACUCAAGGCCUAAUGGCCACCUACCAUGCAUUUAAUGCCCAACAGCUAGUGAACCAAUCGACCCCCAACUCGACCAAUCAAGACUACUUUUUGGCAUUUUGGCUCGUGACGCUAGAAACCUAUAAACUGAGAGUUCCACUUCAUUUAUGAGUAAGAGAACACCUGAAUUUAUUUGUUUACCUACUUGUUCUUAUCGCAAAAGCUCUCAUUCUUUCUUUGGUGCAUUAAACCUUCAUUUGCAUAUUCCUUAGUGCACCCUUGUGAUUCUUCUUAGCUUUUAAGUUGUAUUUGAGCCCUUGUUGAGUUAGGAUGAGAGAUUUAAGCUUAUUAUUUGAGUGUUAAAAGCUUCAAGUGAGUAGAGAUUUGAAGAGAUUGUAUAAGAACCCAUUGAAGCCAGAAUCCAAGUGUAAAGGUGAUUAGAAGCUUGGUUGAAGCUUCAAGUAUAGUGGAACCCUUACUCGGUUAAGAGCUUGAGGAGAGUAGACCUAGGCAAGGAAGUGUUGAACCACUAUAAAAUCCGAGUUUGCUUUAUCUAACCUUAUCUAUAUAUAUUUGUGCUUCUUGUGUUUAAAUUUAUUGUGUUUGAAAAAGAAUUUUAAUAUUUCAGGUUUUAUUUAAUUCAAAUUAAUUAAUUUAAUCAGGUUUUAUUUUAAUAUUUCUUUUUUUUUUUUUUUUGCAUGGGAUGUCAAAAUAUCAUAAAUAUCAACAGUUAGUCUUUCUCUUGGUGGACCAAUAUUCUAUCAAUAUAUUUGACAAUCUUGUCCAAUUUUUGGCAAGCAAAGAUUUCAACCUUUUUUUUUUUUUGUAUUAAGGCUAGUAUGAUAUAUCGAAAUUUUGAUUAUAUUUCUAGAAAUUUUAAUCUUUGUAAAUAACUACUAUGUUUUAAUUUUAAAAAUAAAAAAUAAGAAGUAUAUCCAAUUGAUACCUUAGUGCUCAUUUAGAUAUGCUUCUUGGUUUUUAUUUUGAAGGGUAGAAAAUAAUAAUAACUUCUAUAAAAUAUAUAAAAUACAAUAACUUUUAUAUAAAAAGUACAAACUUAACUUAUGUUCUUAAAAAUAUAAACUUAAAUUAUAUUUUUAAAAAUUACUUUUAAAUUUUCUAAAAUUUGAAGUAAUAUUUUUUUUAAUAUCUCAUAUUUUUUAAAAAAUUUAAAAAUCAUUUUUUUUUAAUUAAGUUUCAAAGAGUUCUUAUAUUUUAUAGAGAUAUUAUGAUUACUUUCUAUUUUAGAAAAGAGAAACAAAAAGUUUAUCCAAAUUACACCUUAUUUUCUAUUGGAGACACUUAUUAUUUUUUAUUUUUAAAUGUAGAAAAUAGUAAUAGUUUCUAUAUAUAUAAUAUAGGAUUUCUUAGAGGUUUAUAUUGAAAAUGUUAUGGAUUUAAAAAUUGAUUGAAAAUUGAGAUAAUAAAAAAAUUUACUAUCUUAAAUUAUAAAAUUUAUUAAAGUAAUUUUUAAAGACAUAAGAUAUGUUUACCUUUUGUUUUAAAGUUUUUACUUUUUAUUUAGAUGUCUCAUAUUAUAUAUAUAGGAAAUGGAAACAGUGGGUGGUUUGAAGGCCACUAAAUAAUAAAUGUGAUAUCCUACAUUGGAUAAGGGAAAAUUUUUUUAGUGUUAUAUAUAUAUAUAUAUAGACUUCUUUUAACCUUGUAGACACAUUUUAAAGUCGCGAAAGCCCCUUUAGGUCUAUAGUGGUUAAUAUCUACACGAUUGAAAGCGAGUCAUUACAAAUGUAUCAAAGUUGAUCCUCGACUCCUAUAUGGGGGUUUCUUUUGGCUUCAUGAGAAGUGUUUCUCUAUUUGACCCUACAAUCUCGUGAGACACAACGAGUAUAUUGUAUUUAUAUGACGGAGGAGGGACUGGGGUAUUUAUGUCUCACAUGGGAUAGGGGAAUAUAUAUAUAUAUAUGAGUUCCUCUUAAUCUCGUAGACAUUUUAAAGUUAUAAGAGUCCCUUUAAGCCCAAAGUAAAUAAUAUCUACACAAUUGGGAUGAGACCGUUACAAUAGAUAUAAUUUUUAAAACUGAGAUUAGAAUCAAGAAAGGAGGUUUUCUUGGUCAGACCAUGGGUGGGGCAUUUUUACAAAAGAUUGAUCAUAUUCUUCCUCCUCUUGGCUAGAUGCAUUAAAUUGAAACAAAAUCUUAUUUACUUAGGAAGUAUGUCCAAAUGAAGCACUAAAAUUUAAAUUUCUAAUUAUAUUUUAAAUUUCUUAUGCAAGAGCUUUUAAGAACACUAACCUUCAAAAUAAAUAAGUAUGGUGCUUACCAAAACUUUUCAAAACUCACCUCUCAUCACUUGUCUUGCUGUUAUCCUUGGGGGGCCACUCUGGAAAAGAACUUCAAUUGUAAGAUGUUUAGACCACUAUUUGUUAGGAAAAAAAAAAAACAAAUGUAACAGAAAAGGAAAGAAGCACUACUUAACAAUUAUAAGAAGUUGAGGUAAAUAAUUAGUGGUGAAUGGAUAUAAAAAGGAACCAAAUUUUCUUAAACAAAUCCAUCAAACCAAAUCCUUAUUUUAUUGGAUAGGAAAAUUUGAGGAAAAAAAAAAUACAUCCAUUAGAGCCCCAUUUCGUAAUAUGGAAGAAAUUAUAGACAUCGAAUUUUACUUGCUCAAGUUCCAUUCUACACCAUGCAUGGGUUCUAUUCUAUUUAUUGAGCGAAUAAAUAUUAAAUCCAUUAAAAUAUUUUCAAUUGAGUUGGAUUAACUUGAAAGCUUGGAUGUUAACCACACAUUGUUUUAUAAGAUAGCUAACUAAUUUGUUUCCAAACUAUAUUUUUCAAAGAGAGAGAAAGAGAGAGAAAGAGAGAAAAUGUAUAAAACUAUAUUUAGCAUUCCUAAAUUAUGUUAAUGCCCAUACCCAAUUUCUAAAAAAUGUUAUUAUCUAAAUAAAUAAAUAAAUAAAAAACAAGAAUAAUUGAGUAAAUGAAGAAUAGAUAUUGAUGAGGAAGGAGUUAAAUGUACUAUACUGGAUUUAAUGAGUAUCUCCAUGAGUCCUUGUGUUGGUACUGUUGAGAUCAUGAGUUCCUCCAUGAAUCCUCGUCUUGUUUUUAUUUUCUUCUUUUCAAAUGCAGUUGGAUUGCAUGCAAGAUAUUGAAGAGCAGUCAUUGAAUCUGGAUCUCUUUCUUCAAUUAAAUAUGAGUAGCUCUCCGCAAUAAAAUGGGCCAAUUCUAUUUCAUGUUAAUUUUGUAGAGAUAACACAAAAAACAAAAAUGUUAGAUUAGUAACCUAAUGUUGUCUUUGCAUCCCAAAAAAUAUUUGAAAAAGAAAAUAUACAUAAAUUAUCUUAUUUGAUUAAUUAUUUAAAAUUUAUAAAUUUUUAUAAACAAAGAAAAACAAAGAAAAAUAAAUUUGAAGAUGAUAUUUAAGUAAAGCUUAUUGAUUUUAAACUUAUUAUUAACUUUUUAAUUUGUUUUUUGGAUUUUUCUUUAUUUUCUUUCCUUGAUACUUUCUUCAUUUCUAAGAUCCACAUGGCAUGCACCUAGACUAAAGGGCAUAUGCAAAUUAUGUAAAACACGUAACUUAAUAUUUUUUUUUUUUACUAGUAACAUUUAUGUUUUGAACUUUGAAAAGAAGACAUGACAUGAUAUGUCCCCUUAAAGUAUAAACUCCCUUUGUACUAACCCAUCACAUGCCUUUCAAGCUUAACCAAUUAAAUAUGAAGUUUUUAAAUUAUUUUAAGUGGGUUAUGAAUUUUCUUAACCAACAUAGUUUUGGGUACCAUUUUUAGGCCUAAAAAAGAGGUUUUGAAUAAUAAAAACUCUUUUGCUGUAUAUUUGAUUACAUUUAAGAAGUUGUUUGGAGAAAAAUAUUUAAGACUUAAAAGUAGCAAAAGUUACAAUAUAGUAACUGUUGGCCAAAAAGGGCUUUGGGAAGCUAAUAUUUCUUUAAAAGUUUAUUUAAAAAAUUAUAUCAAUAUUUAUAACUUCAUUUAAAUUUGGUAACCAAGCAUGCGUCCGGCUACAUUUUUAGUAUUUUUUAAGAGUAAAAUAUAGUCAUAAAUUCUAUAUAAAAACUAGAACCUUAUAUCUUUAAAAUUUUUGCAAUUUGAGGUAGAUAAAUUAAAUAUUUUGAUACCUUAAUUUGUAAAACCAUUUUUUUUUCUUUUUUUUCUUUUUUUAUCAAUCAUUCAUUGCUUUUCAAUGUAAGUAUCUAAAAAAUUCUGGUAUUUUAUAUGUUAUUAUUUUGUAAUUUUAAAAAUAGAAAUGAAAUGAAAAUAAUAAAUCUAUUUUCAAGAAAUUAAAUAUAUUUCUUAAGAAGUCCCUUUAAGGAGGAGUUAAGCUACUUCAAACAAGGCUUUAAUUAGAACAUGUACUAAUCUUUUAAAUUUUCAGCACUUAGGUUUAUUAGAAAACGCUAUCUAAAGCUUUGUUUGGAUUGUAAAAUAUAGUAGAAAAAAUAAAAAUAGAAAUGAAAAGUUAAUUUACCUAGAAAAUAAUGAAAAAAAAUAGAAUAAAAAAUAAUUAGAAAAAAAGAAAAGAAAAUAAUGAGUUUUUAUGCACUCGUGUAAAAAUAAUUAUAAAAUAAAAAUCUUCUAAAAAUAAUUCAAAUUUUAUGCAUUCAAGGGUCAAAAAUAGUACUUAAGAUAAUGAAAGGUAAUACCUAUAUUAUUAAAAUGUAUAAAUAUUAAUUAUUUUUAUAUAGCUAUUUGAAAUUUAUAUUUUAUAAACUUGAGUUUUUAUUUAUGGUUUUUUAUUUAUUUAAAUGUAUGAAAAUACACUUUUCCAAAAAAAUAAAAUAGAAUGAAAAAUAUUUAAAGUUUAUAUAUACAUGAGAGAAAGAAGAAAAAGAAAUUGCGAGAAUGAUAUAAGAAAGAUCUAUUAUGUUGAGCUUUUUAUAUAUAUAUAAAUAUUUAUUCAAAAUUUUCUAUUUUGGACUUUUUCUUAUUUUUAUUUUUCCAUUUCUCAAACAUAUUUUCCAUCAUCCUCCUAUUUUCACAUCUUGCAAGAACAUGAAACAUCCUCACCUAACGUACCUAGAUUGGUUGGGGUUUAGCCUUCCUUAACCUACACUUGGGAUAGCCUAUAAUUUCUAUAUUUAAUAAUAGAAAUGGAUAUUAUAGGAAAAAACUUGCAGAUGAAUUGAGAGAAGAACUCACCAAAACACUCGGUCAAGAUGGAAAUAUGAAGAACUGUUGUUCUAUCAUCCCUCUGCAAAUAGUGUUUACCCUCUUCUGGAUUUAGUUCCGUUAGUCCCAUUUUCCCAGCCAGAAACUUAAACAUUUCAGUUUGGCCGUAGCGGGCUGCACAAAAAAUAGGCGUCUCUCCUAAGUCGUUAGGCGCAAUUAGCAACUCUGAAUCUCUCUUCAACAUCUCCUCCGCCACAUCUUUCAUAGUAUCACUGGCCGCUACUUCGUGGAGUAUAUUGCUGCCGGCGUUGUUUUUUGUAGCGGCAAGUUCAUGGUUGCGUUCUUUAGGCAACAUUUCCAGUAAGUCGCGCACCAGUUUACUUCGUUUGAAGCGAGAGGCCAUGUGGAGGACUGUGUCAUUGUAAACACUAAUUCUCUGUAGCGGGCCUUCACGAUGAGAACUGCAGAGUUGGGUCACCUUCUUGUCGUCUUUGCUGAUCAAGUGAAUGAACAAUUGAUCUUGGAGUUCCUGUUGGUCGGUAGAGUUGGUGUCGGCCAUGAGAGCGUCUUUGGAGAGGGAUGGGGUUCUUACAGCGUUCCAGAGUCACUGCAAAAUCCCAAUUCAUAAGGUUAUAAGCAAUCUUAUAAAACUUGGAUGGGAGUGGCCAAACAAACCGUUGACCGGUCUUCUAUCGGAUUCCAUUUGCUAAUUGAACCGCUUCAAGCUUCAAAAACGAAUUAAACCGAGAGAAGACUCGAAUGAGAGACUUUCCAUCGAACCAAGUUUUGAUGUCAUCUUCAACUAUUAUUUUUUAUUUUUUAUUUUUUAUUUUUUAUUUUUUAUUUUUUAAUAGAGGCCCGACACUUGAUUUUUUUAAUUUUUAUGAAACCAUUAAAUGGUUGAUCCCAUUGCUUGUUUCAUAAAUGUCAAAGGGCAGUUCCAACCCUUCUUUUUUCCCCCCGCACAUUCCUUAAUAUGUAUUAAAUAUAAAUCAUCAAGUAAAAGUGUUUUCUUAUGGCAUGAAUUAUUUGUAAUUAAUAUAUAAACCACACAAAAUUAUAAAAAAUCAUAAAAUGCAAAACUAAUAAUAUAUGAAUAAUAUAAAAAAUUAUUUGAUUAAUAAAAAAUAUUCAUAUGUUUGUAUAAUAUGGUUAUCAUGAUUAAUAUAUACUAAUAUUAAAAAUAAAAUGAUGAAAUAGUUUAAUAAUAUAUGAAUUAUAAAUUUAUGAUGUUAUUAGUUUCAUCAUAGUUCAACUAUCAAUUUUAACCAUAAAUCAAUAACUUUUCCUAUUUAAUGACUUGUUUGGUUUUGAAACAUCGGUUAUAAGGGGUUAUUAAAAGAACAAAAAAAUGGUAAUUUAAUUAAGGCCAUUUUUUUUCAAUAUCUCUAAAUAUAUUCAAGAUAAAAAGAAAUGGUUUUACUAUUAUUAUUAUUAUUAUUUAAAUAAGAGUGUUUGGGAUGUUUUUGUAAAAAUAAUUUUUAAACAAGGAAAUAAAAUAAUUUUCAUUUUUAAAAAAAAAUUAAUUUUCUACUUUAAUUUUGUAAAAAGUUUUAAUAUUAAAUUAAAUUUAAUACAAAUCUUAUGAAAAAAUAAAAAAUAUUUUUUGCAAUUAUAAAUGAAUUAGAGAUCAUUUUUUUUUUAUAAUAUGUAAACACUAAUAUUAUAAUAAAGAACAAAUUAUAUUAUUUUUUGUUGGAAAAAAUGAUAAUAUUUUAACAGAUUUAAAGGAAAAUUAGGGUAUUGAAUUAGCACCUAUGGAACAUAUAAUCUACAUCAAUGAAAGUGUAUAGUAAAAUCUAAACCAUUGAAUAAAUGUACAAAUAAUCAGACCCAAGUAUAAAAGAAUAGAACUAUGUACAAUAAUGAGAUCAAUGUAUAAAAUAAUAAAUCAAUCAAAAUAAUGGGACCUAUUCAUAUGUAGUGCAAUUUGAUUCACAUUUUUUGAUAUGUAGCAAUUCAACAUUGUAGUGAGACUCAAAUAUGAAAUAUGGAUGUUAAUAUUUUAAUAUAAAAAAAUAAGUUAUAUUUUUUUAUUAAAAAUUAAUAAUAAGUUUUUGUAAAAAAAACAUGGAUUAAUAAUAUUUUAUUUAAAAUGAAUAGUAAAAAGAAGUAUAUUAAUUUUUUUAAUAAAUGAAUAAUCUUUGUUUUUAACUAAUGUACAUGUUUACUAUAUCUAAUUAUCUUUAGUAUUUUAUACCAAAUUUGGUCUUGGAAUUUUUGGCAUUAGACGAGUUGCAAACACAAUUCUGGGCUUUUAGGAAGUCCAUCAAUACAUUUAUGAAAUGGUGCAUGCACAUGCUAAUGUUUUGAAGCAAAAUAAAUGUUUUUGUCCUAUCAAACAAAGCUUAAAAAUUCUUGACUAUAAUUCUCAUUAUCUAUCCAUAUGAGACUAAUAAGCAAGGAUAUAAUUAUAGGCUUCCCAAAUCUCAGCAUGCAUAUAAUUAGAGAUAGUUUAUUAAAACAAGGUCAUGACACUUACAACAAUAAGAUGAAAAGCUGCUUUGUAGUUUUAAAAAAACUUUUUUUUUCUAUUAUAAAAAUUAAAAAGUAAAAAAAAAAAUUAUGUAAAACUUCAAAAAUUGAAUUAUAUUUAAGAAAGAUUAUAUGAUGUUUCAUAUAUUUAAAAUACGGUGUCUUAAUAAUAUAAAAAUACAAUUUCUAAGAAAUUCAAUGUUUUUUUUUAUGAAUUUUUGGUCAAAAUGACCCCUUUUAAAACUUAUAUCCAAUGUGAUAUCUUUUCAAUCACAUGAGUCUCACAUCAUUCUCCCAUAAAAAUAUAGCUGCAAUUGACAAUUAAGAUUUCAAUUAAAAAAUGAAGUUGCAAUUACCAAUUGAUACUUCGAUUAAAAAUUGAGAUUGCAUUUUUUAACUGAAGUCUUAAUUGGUAAUUGAGGUUUCAAAUUAAAAAAUGAAGUCAUAAUUAACAAUUAAAACUUCAUUUUUCUAACUAAACCCUCAAUUGCUAAAUAAAACCUUAACUUAAAUUAUAUAUAUAUAUAUAUAUAUAUAUAUAUAUAUAUAUAUAUAUAUAUAUAUUAUUUCUAGAUGGUAAUAAAAUGGUCACUUUGAACAUAAGUUUGACAGAAUGGUUAAACUUAAUUUUUUUCCCAUAAUGGGGCUAUUUUGGCCCAAAACUCAUUUUCUCUAACCUAACAUGAAUAUAAAAACUUGAGAUGAUGAAAUCAUUGUUUAAUAUAUUUAAAAUAUAGUACCUUACUAAUUAAAAUAAUAUAAAAAGUGAAUAUACGCAUUUGUGGACCCUACAUUUCGCUCGAUGCGUUCUCACUUGAUGACAAAACUCGCUUUUUUAUUUUAUUUGGUGAAAAAUUAUGAUUUUUAGAAAAAUACUUGGAGUCACCACUUAUUCUUGUUUUAUUUUUUAAGGAAAAAAAAAUUUAAAAUUAAAAAAAAAAAAAAAAAACCUAAAUGUGACUCCUGAAGGAAAAACAAAUCUACGAAAAAUCGAGUUUAGGUUUGAAAGUCAGGUUAUUAGAAAGGUACAGUAAAGACCGUAACACCCCUCUAAGUCCCUAAAAAUGAAUAUCUACUAAAUAAAAUGAAGCAAAUGUGGCAAUUAAUAAGGAAAGUAAUUGAUACCAAUGAAAUUAUCAAAUAGUAAAACGAACCAUGCAUAAGAACAAGCAAAGUGAGAGUGAAAUCGUACCUUAAUAGCAAGUAAUAGUGCGUUAUCAUAGAAACAAGGUUAGUUCAAGUACAAAAUUAUCACAUGCACAUCAAAAAGCAAUCCAAACAUCAAACAAUGUCCUUUAAGCAUAACAGUCGACAAUCAGAAGAGAAAAACUCAUAUAUAGGACCCUCACUAAAGCCCAAUUGAUUUUGCAUAAAUCAAUCUCACAAAUUCCAUUGUUUUGGAAUUAUGAAAAUGAUCUUCAUACUUAUUAAAAAUCAAGGAAAACGGAAAAUUAUUUUAAAAUCAAAGAAAAUUUAUACAAGCGCAUACCAAAAUGAGAAUGACAACAGACUUAUUAAAAUCAAGAUUUUUCGCAACCUAAAACCUUAAUAAAGGAUGAAAAGUUGUAGAAUUAAAAAAAUAUUUAAAACUGGAGUGGAAUUAAAAUUAUUCAAAAGAAAACUAGAGUUUUGAAAUUUAUUUGAAAAUUGAAAAUUUGAAAAUUAUUUCAAAAUUAAUUUGAAAAUUGGAAUUUUGAAAUAUUAUUUGAAAAUGGGAGUUUUGAAAAUUAAAUUUAAAAAUUAAGGUUUUAAAAUUUAAAUUUGAAAGAAAUUGGAGUUUUAAAAAUUAAUUGAGAAUUGGAAUUUUGAAAAUUAAAUUAUGAAAAUUGGAAUCUUGGAAAUUAUUCGAAGGUAUAAUUUUAUAAAUAAAUAAAUAAUAAUAAUAAUAAACAAAUUUAAAAUUUGAAAUUUUAGAAAUUAAAAAUUAAAUUCAAAAAUUAAAAUUUUGAAGAAUUAUUUAAAAAAUGAAUUUUAAAAAUAAACAAAUAGAAUAAUAAUAAUAACAAAAAUAUAAUGAUUAAAUAAAUAAAUAUGAAAAUUGGAAUUUUGGAAAUUUAAAUUUGGAAAUCGAAAUUUUGAAGAAUUAUUUAAAUAUGACAUUUUAAAAAUAAAUAAAUAAAAUAAAAUAAUAAUGACAAAAAUAAUAAUGAUAAAAUAAAUAAAUGUGAAAAUUGAAAUUUUAGAAAUUAAAAAUUAAAUUUGGAAAUGGAAAUUUUAAAAAAUUAUUUAAAGAUGAAAAUUUAAAAAUAAAUAAAUAAAUAAAAUAAUAAUGAUUACAAAAAUAAUAAUGAUAAAAUAAAUAAAUAUGAAAAUUAAAAUUUUGGAAAUUAAAAAUUAAAUAUAAAAAUUGGAAUUUUGAAGAAUUUAUUAAAAAACGAAGUUUUAAAAAUUAAAUUUAAAAAUUGAAAUUUUAAAAAAUUAUUUAAGAAUUGAAUUUUUAGCAAUCAUUUAAAAAUUGGAAUAAAAAUGAGAUUUUUCGAGAAAUCGGGAUUUUAAUAAUCAUUUAAAACAAAAAAUUUACGGAAAUCAAACUUGGACACGUGGAAAAAAAAAAAAAAGUUCCACCAUGAGACCACAACUGCACCAUUUCACUGCCACUUAAUGAGACCACAACUGCACCAUUUCACUGCCACUUAUUUAUUCAGAAAACUUGAAGUGCCCUGCCACUUAUGAAAAUUCCCAUGCCACCCUUGACUUGUCAUUCACCGUUUGCUUACACCGCCUUAUGUCAUUAGUGCGCUACCAGCUUCUGUAGGUGAAGUAAUGAAGCCCCACUUCUCCAUGAAAUGCACCAACUUGCUGCCUAUUUACACCUGGCAGCACCUAAGUCACCAUGCAGGGCCUCGUUCCACCUCCCAAAGGCGGCAACCCUGAAAUCCUUUCCAAGCUUCCUUUCUCAUCUUUGCUUUCCCCGCGUUCAACUUAUCCAUUCCGAAAAAGAAUUUUUGAACAGAAGUUCCCAAGUCUCCAGCUGUAUAUGCUUCAUUCUUGAGCACCUGUCGUUGAAGAUACUUGGCACAAAACUUUGCAACUACCUUACCUCCAUAGCCAUCACAAACACCAAAAAAACGAAGUGGAAGCAUCCAGAUCAGGGUAUGCAGCAUGAGCAUCUUCCAUGGUUGCGCGCCAUCCUUGCAUGGAUGAUGAACCAUAUCUAACCCUGCCAUUCUCACCAUCCUCAGAUAACUUCUCAGUUUUUGGGGUGCUCAGGUAUAUACCCAUCUCUAGCUGCGCGAUUGGCUCAGAUUUAUGUUCUGAAAGCUUGAACUCUAGGACUCUGUUCUCUGCCUUCUGGAAGGCUAGAAUCCUCCUGUCAAGCUCUUUCGCAAGACCGUCCCCCUUCCUCUUUUGUUGUCGUUCCUCCCCUUGAUGAAUCCACAAAGCUUUUAUAUCCUUCCCAAGGCUUUUCAUGGCCCGGGAAACAGUCUCGUCCGGCAACUUCUGUAAGAAAAAUAGCCAAUCAUGGCAGGUUAUGAGCAGCGGUGGCCCAUCGGCUCGGCAUGGCGGAGCUGAGCUUCUGCCUCGUGAGCAGAAUUCAACCUCAGGGACUACGAACUUGGAGAGCCAUCCAUGGAGAGCUUCAAAAAUGGAACCGUGGGCGUGUUCACCUCCCUGCCGGUCAGUUCUGUCCAGAAAGACUUCCCAAUUCGAGUCACAAAUUGAGCUGUGAGAUUAAUAACAUCCAACUCUUCCCCUGUAAUCCCUUCUGGAAGACGAACAGCGCAUUGCUCAGUCUCUGGGGGGCUCAAGAACCUUGCGGAAUGGUUUAAACUGGGACGAGGGCUCAUGCUUCAUCAAUGUCUCACUAUUGUCGGCAGGUGGAGCAGAUGGGGUAGAUUCAGGAGCAAAAGAAUCUGCAAGUCGUGAAGGAAUCUGCUGUGCAGAGGACUGAUUCUGAGAGCGAAGUUCAAACAGGCGGUGUUGGAGGUAUGCACGGUAGGGAUCCGAACCAUUCAAGAAAUUGAACUUUACAUUGCCAGCAUGAGCAUCGGUAAAUGAAGUUCCAAUAGGGGUUUCUGCUCUCAGACCCAAUUCCUCAACAGAGUGACACUUGAAAUCAAUGUGAACCCACACACAGGGGAGGCACAUACGGGGAGUGCACAAAACAAGGAGGAAAUACAGAAAAAGAAAGAAAACAGGAAAAAAGGAAUGACAGUAAAAAUAGGCCAGACUCUGAUAGUCGUAGUGAACAAAGCUCCAAAUCAUGCAUUCUCAAUGAGCUUUAAGAGUAAAUGAAGAGACCAAAAGAGAAUUCGGAAAGAGAAUGAAACAUACUUCUGAAACAAAAGACACGAAAAAAGUCAAAGGUAAUGGUAGGAAUAAUCUCCAGAUUCAGCAAUCACCAUACAACUUUGGAUAUCCAUACAUAACCAACUAAUAACACCCACACAUAAGCAACAAAUAGAAUGCCAGAAACUCAAGAACAGAGUGAAGAUAGUGAUAUGCAUAAAUAAUCUGAGAGCUGGGAUAAUCAUAC
rnacentral:lncRNA from 1 species